UUUUUUUUCUGUCAUACAUAUGACACUUCUAUGGCGAUAAUUGUGACAAAACCCGGUAUCAUCAUAGAUGUGGUGGGCUCCUACUUAUAUGAAAAAAAAUCAUGACAGAAAAUGGGCUUUUCGUCCUGGGCGGGCCGGAGACGCAACUGCAUGAGAUUCUUUGGACCGUCCAUGACGGAAAAACCGUGGUAGAAGCGAGGGGGAGGAAAAUUUCGGGGAGUUACCGAUUACGGUGGGAGGUCGGGGGCCGAGCGAUGCGCGUUUCUCUCGUACACGUGCGAGGCGUUGGCUCUAACUAAACCCGAGCGAGGUGUUGGGCUCUAACUGAACCCGAGCGAUUGCACUGCAGGCUACGCGUUACUGAACCCGAGCGAUCGAGAUGGCUGUUAACUAAACCCAAUGGAGCNNNNNNNNNNNNNNNNNNNNNNNNNNNNNNNNNNNNNNNNNNNNNNNNNNNNNNNNNNNNNNNNNNNNNNNNNNNNNNNNNNNNNNNNNNNNNNNNNNNNNNNNNNNNNNNNNNNNNNNNNNNNNNNNNNNNNNNNNNNNNNNNNNNNNNNNNNNNNNNNNNNNNNNNNNNNNNNNNNNNNNNNNNNNNNNNNNNNNNNNNNNNNNNNNNNNNNNNNNNNNNNNNNNNNNNNNNNNNNNNNNNNNNNNNNNNNNNNNNNNNNNNNNNNNNNNNNNNNNNNNNNNNNNNNNNNNNNNNNNNNNNNNNNNNNNNNNNNNNNNNNNNNNNNNNNNNNNNNNNNNNNNNNNNNNNNNNNNNNNNNNNNNNGCCACACCCCUCCCAAUGAACAGGACCCCCGCUUCGACCUUAGUGCUCCAACACAAGUCCGUUUCAUCCGUUUUGCGGUAGGCCACACCCCUCCCGAUGAACAGGACCCCCGUUUCGACCGUAACGCUCCAACACAAGUCCAUUUCGUCCGUUUUGCGGUACGCCACACCCCUCCCGAUCAACAGGACCCCCGUUUCGACCAUAGGAGACCCUUUCCUCCGUUUUGCGGUACGCCACACCCCUCCCGAUCAACAGGACCCAGUUCCGAACGUAGGAGGUCCGUUUCCUCCGUUCUGCAGUACACCAGGCCUUGUUCCAUCGCCUGUUCCGUCCAAGCCCUCCCGAUGAACACGACCACGCAUUCCGUUCCGACCCAGCCGGUUGGCUCCCCAUGAACACGACGACGACAUUGUUUCUCCUUUCCGACCCAACCAUGUACGUAUGCGCGAGUAGGCGUUCGAGACCCUGCCCGUAUGUACGUACGUGGACGUAUUUUCUUUCUUGCACCCUCGCCGUUGUACAUACGUGUACAUGCUACAUGCGCGCCUCUACUACGACACGUGCACGCCUCUACAACGACCAGUAUGUACAUACACGUUUGCGACCAGAAUGACAACCCUACAUACGCUUCGACCAGGUGGGUCCCGACUGUCAGGCACUUCCUUGCGUGCGAAGAUGUAGCUGGUGGGUGCCAACAGUUAGGGGGGCGAAUCGUUUUUUUUGCCCGGACACACUUCCUUGCGUGCGAAGAUGUAGCUGGUGGGUCCCAACAGUCAGGGGGAAACGUUUUUUCAUGAAAUAUGGUGGCCCGUCCGGUGGGUCCCUGCUGUCAAGUGGAGGAAUAAUUACUUUUGCGCGUAAUAAGGAGGCACUUCCUUGCUGCGGCCGUGGACCCAGCUGCCAGCCUCUCCACGUACAGUCCACGUCCGAUGGAAGCCAUUCCUUGACCAUGUUGACCACGCCACGCCGAGAGCACCAGGGCGGUGGACGACGGCGAGGCCUAGGAAGGGGACGACGCGGAGCCGGGGAAGACGCGGCAGUGGAUGCCCACAUGUAGAGGAGUAUGAGGGUUCAUUGGUUCGCUGCCGUGUGAGGCUGCCGUAGCCGCAGAAUAACAGGGGGUGUGGGUGAGUAGAGGGAUGGCCUGGCCAGCGGUGGGAGUAGUAGGGGGCGGUGAGGCCUCCUCCGCAUCGCAGCCGGCCAUGGGAGGCAGGAGCACGAGGCACGACCGGCGCUGGUUUGGGCGGCUGGAGCAAGAAGACCAGAGGUUGAAGAAGCACUACGGCCGUUGGAUGGACAUUGUACGGUCACUGGAGCUAGAAUCGUGCAUAUUGACUAAGUUGACAAAGCCCUCCGUCCCCGUCAAGUUAGUAGGCCCACAAGUCAGCCUGCCACUAUAUUGGGUCCCAGCUAACAGGGGGAGUAUUCAUUUUUUUGCUUCCUUGCGUGCGAAGAUAUAGCUGGUGGGUCCGAGCUGUCAGCAGCGGUAACGUUUUUUUCGCAAAAUACAGAGGCCCUUUCGGUGGGUCCCUGAUGUCAGGUGGAGAAAUCAUUAUUUUGCGCAUAAUAAGGAGGCAUUUCCUUGCGUGCGGCCGUGGACCCAGCUGUCGGCCUCUUCACGUACAGUCCACUUCAGAUGCAUGUCGGUCGUUGACCAGGACGCGCCGAGAGCACCAGGGCGGUGGACGACGGCGAGGCCUAGGAAGGGAAUGACACGGAGGCAGGGAAGACUCGGCAGUUGUUUCCCACACGGAGGGGAGUACGACUGUACGAGGGUUUACUGGUUUGUCUGCCGUCGCCGGAGAAUAACAGCAGGUGUGGGUGAGUAGAGGGAUGGCUAGGACAGCGAUGGGAGUACGGUGGGGCAGUGAGGCCUGCGGGGCAGCACAGCCGGCCGCGGGGAGGAGGGAGCAGGCAGUCCCGCUGGCGCUUGUUUGAGCGGCUGGAGCAGGAAGAGCAGAGAUUGAAGAAGCAUGACGGCCGUUGGAUGGACAUCCAACAGUCACUGCUUGUGCGUCAACCUUUUUUUUAGGAAAGCCUCAAAUCUGUGGAAAACAGCAUACAACCCAUCUGCCAUUAUUUCUAAUAAUUUACAGCCCAUUCGCUAAUUCUUAAGGUUUUUUUUGGAGCCCAUAUUCUUUUUGUUAGCAUUACAGCCCAUAUUAUGGCCACGGUUAAAAAAUUAUACAAAAUUUUGCAUAUUUCUGUGCGGUCUGAACUGUUUUUAAUCCCGAAAUUUCGACUCACAUUCAAACUGAUUUUAAAAAUAAAUGUAUAUCAAUAUAAAAUCCAACAAAUUCUCCACGCAUAAAAAUUAAUGUAAUUUAAAAUCUCGAAAUGAGAAAAAGAUAUUUGAAACUAAUUGCCGGGUUGAUAUGUUUUAAAAAUGUACAACCCAUUUCUCAUUACUGAUAGGCCAUUUUCUCGGCCAGCCGAAUGAAGCUCUCCUUGUCUUGAAAGAUUUGCAUCCCAACAGGCCUGACAAAGCGACUUACUUGGCAAAUCACAAAAAAACUGGGUUGUGGCCUUGGACCCAGCUGUCAGCCUCUCCACGUACAGUACUCUUCCGAUGGAAGUCGGUCGUUGACCACAUUGACCACGCCACGCCGAGAGCACCAAGGCGGUGAACGACGGCAAGGCUUAGGAAGGGGACGACGCGGAGCCGUGGAAGACGCGACAGUGGAUGCCCACGCGGAGAGGAGUAUGAGGGUUCACUGGUUCGGCUGCGGCGUGAGGCUGUUGUCGCCACAGAAUAACAGGGGGUGUGGGUGAGUAGAGGGAUACCCUGGGCCAGCGGUGGGAGUAGUAGGGGGCGGCGAGGCCUCCGCAACAUCACAGCCGGCCACGAGAAGCAGGAGCACGCGGCACGACCGGCGCUGCUUUGGGCGGCUGGAGCAAGAAGACCAGAGGUUGAAGAAGCACUAUGGCCGUUGGAUGGACAUCGUACGGUCACUGGAGCUAGAAUCAUUCAUAUUGACUAAGUUGACAAAGCCCUCCAUCCUCGUCAACUUAGUAGGCCCACAAGUCAGCCACCCACUAUGGUGGGUCCCAGCUAGCAGAACAAUUAUUAUUAUUAUUUUGUAAGAACUUUCAACUUACGGAAUAAAAAUAUCAUUUUAAUUUGACGAGUUAAUAGUACGUGGGGUGUUAUUAUUUUUUAGGCUAGACGUGGGACAGUUGAGUUGGUUCUAGGGGAAAGUACUGGGAGAAAACUCAGUUUACAUCAAAAAAGAAAGUGGGAGAAAAUUCAGAGACCUGCUGGGUCCACCUGAGGAGAGGAAUAUGUUGGGAGGAAGGAGAUUCGAAGCACGGGAGCCGAGUGAACUAGUUUUUUUACGGACAAGUGAACCUUUUUUUACAUACAUAAGCAAAUAGCCACUAAAAAACCAAUCAGGUUAAUGGGUUCUGAAAAGAAAUAUUUCGGACAAAAUAGAUAAUUACGACACAUAGGCUAAUGCAUGAAACACUCAGAUGAUAAAGGUGCUUAUAAACAGAUAAAGUACAACAUCUAGACCUUCCUGCACGCUUGAUCAUGAUGUUGCGGCUGUCCGUGUACUCGUCGGUUACGGAAAGCAGACACACCCUCAUGUCCAAGAUUUGCCUGUACAUGUCGUAGCAUGCGUAUGCAUCCUUGGCCGCGUAGGUUAUGUAGGCUAGAUUCAGAGGUACCUCCCACGUGUUCAGGUCGUUUUCUUUCAUGUUGGCGUAUCAGGGGUCGAUGAUGGUCUCAGCGAGGUCAACCACGGAGUCCUUCUCUUGCCCAUUGCUGAUGAUCUUGUAUUGCUUCUGGAUGUCGACAAGCUUGUUGCACCAGAUGGCCAAAUCGUCGCGUUCUUCCUUCUCUCCACCAUAGCGAAGGUGCAGUCGGCGCUGCCAAUGAAACGGACGAAUGCCCCAGAACCUGGUGCAUCCAUAGGACUGAGGCGAGGCAGAGCUUCACCGAGUCCGUAUUGUUGGUGUACAUCACAUUCAACUUGGUGCAGCCAUAGGACUGAACGGCGAACUAACUCCUUGCUGAAGUCCAUAUCCAACAGGCUCACCCCUCGGAUCGCCAUUAGAGUCUUUUCGAGUGAACGAGUGUGUAGGCAGCAACAGCAAUUCGUUUUUCAGCUCUUGGGGAACUGGAUUCAACAGUAAGACUAUCCACAGUGGGAGUAACUUCAGUAGUAACAUCGAGUCCAACUCAGCAAAUUUACUUAUGUGGCAGUGAGUUAAUGAGGAGAGAGAUAGUUAUAGUAACUUAGCUAGUUACUGUAACAUCACAUGUCCCAAUGCAAUAUGAGCUAUAACCUAAUAAAUGAAGGGAUUUGUGUAUGUUACUGAUACGUCUCCAACGUAUCUAUAAUUUUUGAUUGCUCCAUGCUACUUUAUCUACUGUUUUAGGCAAUAUUGGGCUUUAUUAUCCACUUUUAUAUUAUUUUUGGGACUAACCUAUUAACCGGAGGCCCAGCCCAGAUUUGUUGUUUUAUGCCUAUUUCAGUGUUUCGAGGAAAAGGAAUAUCAGACGGAGUCGAAACGGAACGAAAUCAACUGGAGAAGUUAUUUUUGGAAGGAAAGCAACCUGAUGGACUUGGAGUGCAUGUCAGGGGAGUCCCGGGCUGCCCACGAGGGUGGGGGGCGCCCCCCUGGGCGUGCCCCCCUGCCUCGUGAGCACCCCGGAGGUCCACCGACGUACCCCUUGCACCCAUAUAUACCUACGUACCCUAAAACUUCCAUAACAAAAGAUAGAUCGAGAGUUCCGUCGCCGCAAGCCUCUGUAGCCACCAAAAACCAACCGGUGGCCAUCUUCAUCAUCCCGGUGCUAUCCAUGACGAGGAGGGAGUAGUUCACCCUUGGGGCUGAGGGUAGGUACCAGUAGCUAUGUGUUUGAUCUCUCUCUCUCAUGUUCUCUCUCGUGUUCCCUCUAUGGCACGAUCUUGAUAUAUCCCGAGUUGCUAUUGUAGUUGGAUCUUAUGAUGUUUCUCCCCCUCUGCUGUCUUGUGAUGAAUUGAGUUUUCCCUUCGAAGUUAUCUUAUCGGAUUGAGUCUUUAUGAGAACACUUGAUGUAUGUCUUGCCGUGAUUAUCUGUGGUGACAAUGGGAUAUCAUGUGCCACUUGAUGUAUGUUUUGGUGAUCAACUUGCGGGUUUCGUGACAUUGGGAACCUAUGCAUAGGGGUUGGCACACGUUCUUGACUCUCCGGUAGAAACUAUGGGGCACUCUUUGAAGUACUUUUAUGUUGGUUGGAUGAAUCUGAGAUUAUGUGAUGCAUAUCGUAUAAUCAUGCCCACGGAUACUUGAGGUGACAAUGGAGUAUCUAGGUGACAUUAGGGUUUUGGUUGAUUUGUGUCUUAAGGUGUUAUUCUAGUACAAACUCUUUUAUAGAUUGAUCCGAAAGAAUAACUUUGAGGUGGUUUCGUACCCUACCAUAAUCUCUAUGUUUGUUCUCCGCUAUUAGUGGCUUUGGAGUGACUCUUUGUUGCAUGUUGAGGGAUUGUUAUAUGAUCUAUCUAUGUUAUUAUUGUUGAGAGAACUUGCACUAGUGAAAGUAUGAACCCUAGGCCUUGUUUCCUAUCAUUGCAAUACCAUUUACACUCACUUUUACCACUUGUUACCUUGCUGUUUUUAUUAUUUCAGAUUACAAAAACCUAUAUCUACUAUCUAUUUUGCACUUGUAUCACCAUCUCUUCGCCGAACUAGUGCACCUAUACAAUUUACCAUUGUAUUGGGUGUGUUGGGGACACAAGAGACUCUCUGUUAUUUGGUUGCAGGGUUGUUUGAGAGAGACCAUCUUCAUCCUACGCCUCCUACGGAUUGAUAAACCUUAGGUCAUCCACUUGAGGGAAAUUUGCUACUGUCCUACAAACCUGUGCACUUGCUGGCCCAACAACGUCUACAAGAAGAAGGUUGUGUAGUAGACAUCAAGCAGUUUCUGGCGCCGUUGCCGGGGAGGUGAGUGCUUGAAGGUAUAUCUUUAGAUCUUGCAAUCGAAUCUUUUUGUUUCUUGUUUUAGCACUAGUUAGUCUAUAAAAGAAAAUUACAAAAAAAAUUGGAAUUAAGUUUGUCUCAUGCGCUUCACCUUUUUAAUAUCUUUCGUGAGUAUGAUGGAAAGGAUAAUUGUGCUCAAGUGCUAGAAGAAGAAUUCUCUAAAUUGUUUGGCACUAAAUCUUUGAAAGAUGAGCAUGAUUGCAAUGUUGUUAGUACGAAUUCUUUGAAUAUCCAUAAUACUAAUGAUGAUUGCACUAGUUAUGAUAAAAAUAUCUCUUAUGGGCAUCUCAACUUUUGUGGAGUGCAUGUUUGCAUGAACACACCAAAUAGAGAAGAUAUUUAUUGCAAGAGGCAUAAGUACUUAGAAACCAAAUUGUUGCAAGAAGAGCUAGAUGAAUGUGCUGAAAGAUUCAAUAUUUUUCGCGGUCCUUGUGAACUUUGCAAUAAACAUGGUCAUUUAAAGCUCCAAUGCUAUUUUUUCAUGAUCAAGUCGUGUCCAAAUAUUGUGAUAAUUUGAUUACCCUUGAGCAUCAUAAAGAGCUUAGCCUUCUUUUGGGUUAUGAAGAAAUGAAAUGUAUAACUGAGGGUAUUCCAAAAUUUGCCCUUGAUAAAGUUCUUCAUUUUGAUCUAGAGAAAAUUUAUAUGUAUUGUGCGGUGAGUCAUAUUGAAAAUCCUUAUAUUGCCAAUUACAUAAAGAAAAGAAAACAAAUAGAAGAUGAUGAGAAUACUAAUGAAAGGGAAGAGACUUCCCAAUAUCCUCCUAUUAUUUCUCAUGAUGAAUCAGGCAACGAGGGGGAGCUUUCUAUUCAACCAAUCUCAUCAAUAAGGAGAUCAAAGAGGAAGGUUGAACCCACACAUAAUGUGAAGAAGAAAAAGAAAAGAAGCAGCAACAAAGGUAGAGAGGUAUCCCUCCCAAAUGAUGUUGCUCCUACUACUCAUUGUGAUGAUGAUAAUUGCUAUACUAUUAGUGCUAUCUAUAUUUUUAAUGAUGAGAGUGAUUAUGCUUAUGAUAUGAAAGGGCCCAAGCUUGGGGAAGCUAUGUUUGAUGAGGAUGAAAUAUUUGAGAAUAUAUUUGCUGGAAUUAAUGUUUGUCCCAAGCUUGGGAAUGCUAUGUUUAAUGAAGAUUAUAUUUUUAGCAUCCCAAGUUUUGAUAUGCAAAGUUGUUAUGAUGAUAGCAUGCCUCCUACCUAUGAUGAUUAUAUUGAUGAAAGUGGGUUCGGAAGAGUGUCAAUUUUAGGAAGUAGUGAUCCCACUAUUUUGGAGGAUGUUGAAUUUUAUUGUGAUGAAUAUGAACGUGGAUUUGGAAGAGUGUCAACUUUAUUUAGUGAUUCCACUAUCUUGGGAGAGGUUUCAAUCGAUUAUGAUGAGAACGAAGUUGCUACUUAUGAUGAUUAUUGUGAUGAAACUUAUGCUAUAAAAAGUAGUGAUGAUUAUAUUUACAAAUCUUGUCAUGAUUAUGAUUACCCUUUUUCUGAACAUUACUCUUUUAAUGUGGAAACAAUUUUUAGUGUUCAAGUCUCUUAUGAUACUCCUACUAUUCCGAAUGAGAAGAAUUUUGCUUUUGUGGAGAGUAGUAAAUUUUCUAUGCUUGUAGAUCAUGAAAAGAAUGUUUUAGGUGCUGGUUAUAUUGUUGAAUUCAUUCAUGAUGCUACUGAAAAUUAUUAUGAGAGAAGAACAUAUGCUUGUAGGAAUUGCAAUAAUGUCAAGUUUCCUCCCUAUGUGCUUAAAUUCUUGAAGCUAUGCUUGUGUUACCUUCCUAUGCUAGUUGAUUAUUGUUCCCCUAAGUUGUUUUCUCACAAAAUCCCUAUGCAUAGGAAGUGGGUUAGACUUAAAUGUGCUAGUCAUAUUCUUCAUGAUGCUCCCGUUAUGUUUCAAUUCUUAUCUUUUAUGUGAGCAUCAUUGUCAUCAUCACGCCUAGCUAAAAAGGCAUUAAAGAAAAGCGCUUGUUUGGAGAUAACCCAAUAUUUAUCCUUACUGUUUUUGUGUGUCCACAUGAUUAUGCUACUGUAGUAAUCAUGUUUUAUAGCUUUUGUUUCAAUAAAGUGCCAAGUAGAACCUUUGGGAAGACUUGGGUGAAGUUUAUGUGAUCUUGCUGUGAAAAACAGAAACUUUAGCGCUCACGAGAUUAGCUGCCAUUUUUUACUGGAGAGAGAUUUUAGGUUGAUUCUUUUUGCAGAUGAUUAAUAGACAAAUUGCUAAGGUCCAGAAAUUUAUUUCAUAAUUUUUGGGGUUCCAUAAGUAUACGUUUGAUACAGAUUACUACAGAAUGUUCUGUUUUUGACAGAUUCUGUUUUCUAUGUGUUGUUUGCUUAUUUUGAUGCAUCUAUGGCUAGUAUUGAGUGGUAUGAACCAUAGAGAAGUUAGAAUACAGUAGAUAUUACACCAAUAUGAAUUUAGAAUGAGUUCAUUACAGUACCUAAGUGGUGGUUUUAUUUUCUUAUACUAACGGAGCUUACGAGUUUUGUGUGGUUGAAGUUUUCAAGUUUUGGGUAAAGAUUCGAUGGACUAUGGAAUAAGGAUUGGAAAGAGCCUAAGAUUGGGGAUGCCCAAGGCACCCCAAGGUAAUAUUCAAGGACAACCAAGAGCCUAAGCUUGGGGAUGACCCGGAAGGCAUCCCCUCUUUCGUCUUCGUUCAUCGGUAACUUUACUUGGAGCUAUAUUUUUAUUCGCCACAUGAUAUGUGUUUUGCUUGGAGCGUCAUUUUCUUUUGUUAGUAUUUGCUUGCUGUUAGUUAGAGUAAUGUUUUGCAUCUUUAGUUUAAAUAAAAAAGUCAAGGAUAGCCUUUGCCAUGCUUAUUUUGCUAGUUUGCAUGUUGCUGUUUGAAAACAGAAAGUUUACCGCUGUUGCAAAAAUUCCCUAGGAAAGUCAGAGAAUGGUAUAACGUUGAAUCUUUUUGCAUGUUGAGCUCUGAUAAAUUUAUUACAGUGGGAAUUUUAGUUCAUAAUUUUUGGAGUCAGGGAAGUAUUGAUACUCUUGCAUUCUUUACAGACUAUACUGUUUUGACAGAUUGCUGUUACGGUUGCAUUGUUUGCAUAUGUUUGCUUGUUUAAUGAUUCUAUUUGAGGAUAGGAGUAUUAAAUAUACAGAGGAAUUUAGUAUUCAAUGUUGAAUAAUAAUUUUAGUGAUUUGUCACAGUAGAAAAUGAUAAGGUUUUGCAUUGGUUUAUACUAACCUAUCUCACGAGUUCUUGUUGAGUUUGUUGUGAACGAAGCUUUUGAUAAAAAGAGAAACCAUGAUAUGAGAGGAAUUAAGGAUACACAAAAGUUCAAGCUUGGGGAUGCCCAAGGCACCCCAAGAUAAUAUUUCAAGAAGUCUCAAGCAUCUAAGCUUGGGGAUGCCCCGGUAGGCAUCCCACCUUUCUUCUUCAACAACUAUCGGUUAGUAUCGGUUGCGCCUAAGUUUUUGGUUCUUCACAUGAGUUGUGCUAUCCUUGCAUUGUAGUUUUCUUUAGCUUUGCUUGCUGUUUGGAUAAAGUAUCAAGAUCUGAAAUUCCUUUAAUGAGAGAGAGUCUUUGCAUAGUUGCAUAAUUAUUUGACUACUCAUUGAUCUUCACUUAUAUCUUUCGGAGUAGUUUGUCUUUUGCUCUAGUGCCUCACUUAUAUCUUUUAGAGCACAAUGGUGGUUUUAUUUUGAAGAAAUAUAUGAACUCUCAUGCUUCACUUAGAUUAUUUUGAGAGUCGUUAAUAGCAUGGUAAUUUUCUUAAUAUUAAUAUACUUAGUGUUCAAGAUAUGUGAAACUUUCUUUUGAGUGAAUUGAAUACUAAGAUAAGUUUGAUGCUUGAUAAUUGUUUUGAGAUAUGGAGGUGAUAAUAUGAAAGUCGUGCUAGUUGGGUGAUUGUGAAUUUGAGAAAUGCUUGUGUUGAAGUUUGCAAGUCCCGUAGCAUGCACGUAUGGUUAAAGUUGUAUAACAAAUUUGAAACAUGAUGUGUACCUGGCUUGUGCAUCCUUACGCGUGGCGGUCGGGGACGAGCGAUGGUCUUUUCCUACCAAUCUAUCCCCCUAGGACCAUGCGCGUAGUACUUGAUUUUUGAUGACUUCUAAAUUUUUGCAAUAAGUAUAUGAGUUCUUUUGACUAAUGUUGAGUCCAUGGAUUAUACGCACUCUCAUCUUUCCGCCUUUGCUAGCCUCUUCGGUAUCGUGCAUUUCCCUUUCUCACCUUGAGAGUUGGUGCAAACUUCGCCGGUGCAUCCAAACCCCGUGAUACGAUACGCUCUAUCACACAUAAACCUCCUUAUAUCUUCCUCAAAACAGCCACCAUACCUACCUAUUAUGGCAUUUCCAUAGCCAUUCUGAGAUAUAUUGCCAUGCAACUUCCACCAUCAUCAUAUUCAUGACAUACAUUACUUUUGUCAUAUUGCCAUUGCAUGAUCAUGUAGUUGACAUCGUAUUUGUGGCAAAGCCACCAUGCAUUAUUUUCAUACAUGUCACUCUUGAUUCAUUGCACCAUCCCGGUACACCGCCGGAGGCAUUCAUAUAGAGUCAUAUCUUGUUCUAAGCUUCGAGUUGUAAUCCUUAUGUUGUAAUCAAAAGAAGUGUGAUGAUCAUCAUUAUUAGAGCAUUGCCCUAUCAAAAAAAAGAGAAAGGCCAAAAGAAAAACAAAAGAAGGCCCAAAAAAUAAAAAAAAUAAAAAGGCAAUGCUACUAUCUCUUUUUCCACACUUGUGCUUCAAGGUAGCACCUUGUUCUUCAUGUAAUGAGUCUCAUAUAUUGUGCUUCAAAGAAGCACCAUGCUCUUCAUGUAGUGAGUCUCAUAAGUUGUCUUUUUAUACUAGUGGGAAUUUUUCAUUAUAGAACUUGGCUUGUAUAUUCCUACGAUGGGCUUCCUCAAAUGCCCUAGGUCUUCGUGAGCAAGCAAGUUGGAUGCACACCCACUAGUUUUCUUUUGUUGAGCAUUCAUAGCUCUAGUGCAUCCGUUGCAUGGCAAUACCUACUCCUCAUGUUGACAUCAAUUGAUGGGAAUCUCCAUAGCCCGUUGAUUAGCCUCGUCAAUGUUAGACUUUCUCCUUUUUUGUCUUCUCCACACAAUCCCCAUCAUCAUAUUCUAUUCCACCCAUAGUGCUAUAUCCAUGGCUCACGCUCAUGUAUUAUGUGUAGGUUGCAAAAGUUUGAGAUUAUUUAAGUAUGAAACAAUUGCUUGGCUUGUCAUCGGGGGUAUAGAAGUUGGGAACAUCUUUGUGUGACAAAAAUGAAGCAUAGCCUAACUAUAUGAUUUUGUAGGGAUGAACUAUCUUUUGCCAUGUUAUUUUGAGAAGACAUGAUUGCUUUGAUUAGUAUGCUUGAAGUAUUAUUACUUUUAUGUCAAUAUGAACUUUUGUCUUGAAUAUUUCGGAUCUGAAUAUUCAUGCCACAAUUAAGAAGAUUUACAUUGAAAUUAUGCCAAGGUAUCACUCCGCAUCAAAAAUUCUUUUUUAUCAUUUACCUACUCGAUGACGAGCGGGAAUUAAGCUUGGGGAUGCUUGAUACGUCUCCAACGUAUCUAUAAUUUUUGAUUGCUCCAUGCUACUUUAUCUACUGUUUUAGGCAAUAUUGGGCUUUAUUAUCCACUUUUAUAUUAUUUUUGGGACUAACCUAUUAACCGGAGGCCCAACCCAGAUUUGCUGUUUUAUGCCUAUUUCAGUGUAUCGAGGAAAAGGAAUAUGAGACGGAGUCAAAGCGGAACGAAAUCAACUGGAGAAGUUAUUUUUGGAAGGAAAUCAACCUGAUGGACUUGGAGUGCACGUCAGGGGAGUCCCGGGCUGCCCACGAGGGUGGGGGGCGCGCCCCCUGGCCUCACCCCCUGCCUCGUGAGCACCCCGGAGGUCCACCGACGUACCCCUUGCACCCAUAUAUACCUACGUACCCUAAAAGUUCCAGAACAGAAGAUAGAUCGGGAGUUUCGCUGCCGCAAGCCUCUCUAGGCACCAAAAACCAAUCGGGACCCUGUUCCGGCACUCUGCCGGAGGGGGAUCCCAUCAUCGGUGGCCAUAUUCAUCAUCCCGGCGCUAUCCAUGAUGAGGAGGGAGUAGUUCACCCUCGGGGCUGAGGGUAUGUACCAGUAGCUAUGUGUUUGAUCUCUCUCUCUCGCGUUCUCUCUCGUGUUCCCACUAUGGCACGAUCUUGAUGUAUCCCGAGCUUUGCUAUUGUAGUUGGAUCUUAUGAUGUUUCUCCCCCUCUACUCUCUUGUGAUGAAUUGAGUUUCCCCUUUGAAGUUAUCUUAUCGCAUUGAGUCCUUAUGAGAACACUUGAUGUAUGUCGUGCCGUGAUUAUCUGUGGUGACAAUGGGAUAUCAUGUGCCACUUGAUGUAUGUUUUGGUGAUCAACUUGCGGGUUUCGUGACAUUGGGAACCUAUGCAUAGGGGUUGGCACACGUUCUUGACUCUCCGGUAGAAACUUUGGGGCACUCUUUGAAGUACUUUUAUGUUGGUUGGAUGAAUCUGAGAUUGUGUGAUGCAUAUCGUAUAAUCAUGCCCACGGAUACUUGAGGUGACAAUGGAGUAUCUAGGUGACAUUAGGGUUUUGGUUGAUUUGUGUCUUAAGGUGUUAUUCUAGUACGAACUCUUUUAUAGAUUGAUCCAAAAGAAUAACUUUGAGGUGGUUUCGUACCCUACCAUAAUCUCUACGUUUGUUCUCCGCUAUUAGUGGCUUUGGAGUGACUCUUUGUUGCAUGUUGAGGGCUUGUUAUAUGAUCUAUCUAUGUUAUUAUUGUUGAGAUAACUUGCACUAGUGAAAGUAUGAACCCUAGGCCUUGUUUCCUAUCAUUGCAAUACCAUUUACGCUCACUUUACCACUUGUUACCUUGCUGUUUUUAUUAUUUCAGAUUACAACAAAAACCUAUAUCUACUAUCUAUUUUGCACUUGUAUCACCAUCUCUUAUUUACCAUUGUAUUGGGUGUGUUGGGGACACAAGAGACUCUCUGUUAUUUGGUUGCAGGGUUGUUUGAGAGAGAUCAUCUUCAUCCUACGCCUCCUACGGAUUGAUAAACCUUAGGUCAUCCACUUGAGGGAAAUUUGCUACUGUCCUACAAACCUGUGCACUUGCAGGCCCAACAACGUCUACAAGAAGAAGGUUGUGUAGUAGACAUUAGUUACUAGUGUAUGUUACUACCCAUUGUGGCUAGUCUAAGCUGAGUGUGUACAGGCGACAACAGUUACUACCCCUCCCUCGUCCACUGCAUGCCCGACAGAAGAUGCACCCUCGGCACAUUCAAACGCCUCCAUUAAGAAACCUACUCCGGCCACACGUCGGUUCACGAGCUGGUCUGUAUUGGUACUGUAAUAAUAGGAGUUAGUGGUCACUUUCCUUAAAUUUAAUUAGCUUUAAUAGAAAUUUAUACUUAAAACAAGAAAUGCAUUGGCUCAUUCUAUCAGUGCCACGGGAUCAACAUGCACAACAAUUAGAAUUAUUAUUCUCGGGACGCACACGAUUAGCACAUUUGUCGCACUUUCACAAAGAUAAUAUAGCAAGUUUGAACUGUUUAUUAUGGUUGUUGUCCUCUGCAUCAUCAUGCCGUGUUUCCCAGCUUGCAAGAUUCAGAACCAACAAAUAAGAUCCAAAUAAUAAGUACAACAAAGAUGCCUACACAUCUCAUUGAUUCCCAGCUUGCAAGAUUCAGAACGAACAAAUAAGAUCCAAAUAAUAAGUACAACAAAGAUGCCUACACAUCUCAUUGAUUCCCAGCUUGCAAGAUUCAGAACCAACAAAUAAGAUUCAAAUAAGAAGUACAAAAAAGAUGCCUACACAUCUCAUUGAUUCCCACCUUGCAAGAUUCAGAACCAACAAAUAAGAUUCAAAUAAGAAGUACAACAAAGAUGCCUACACAUCUCAUUGAUUCCCAGCUUGGAAGAUUCAGAACCAACCCAUUAGAGCCUUUUGAUAAAGUGAAUAUCGGGAUUAAAUCCAUCUUGGCUAGCCAUGCCAUACAAUCGAAGAACUUGGCGAAUGCUCUUGACCGUCACAACAUCUGUAGUUGGGUAUUCCCGUUUGCACAGCAUGUUUGCACAGCACAAAUAAGGAGACAGGAAAGCAUGAUUUCACUUUAAUAGCGGCCUCCUUGAACUCAACCUCCAGGUCCACUAGGAUGAGGUCUGCCUGGAGUUCCAUGAUUCAAUUCAUGCGCCUUUUUCUGCGGUUCACCUGAAAUGAAGCAAAGAUUGCAUCAUUCAGCUAGCAAGAAGUACUUGCUCUUGUGAGCUGGCAGGUUCUUUUUUAGUAGUUGCACUAAAAUUGAGGAACAUUAAGGUUUGCUGUCCGGCUCAUGUAAGGUGCAACUAUAAUUUUCUUAUCCUUUUGUGCAGUUCCACUAAAAUAAAGUGCCAUUAUGGUGACAGUGACGACUCCAUCUUGCAAAGGCUAAUAAAAUGUUGCACGAGAUUACCCGCAGAACUUGACAGAGAUUUUGGAAACUCCAAUCACCAUUUUGUGCAGUUCCACCAAAAUUGAGAGAUGUUGCCCACGUGACAUUUUAGUUGAACUGCACGAGACACUCAUUCAAAAAAAAGUGUUUUGUGAAGUUCACCAAAAGGUCACAAUAGCAACAAGAUGAAAUGGAUAUCCCUAUCUGCACAAAAUGAGAGAAAGUAAACAGUUGCUGGUCAAUAAGAAUAUACGAAACAUAUACAAAAUGAAAAGAAGCAUCUUAAUUAUGUUCAUGGCAAUCACACAAGGACAGUAGAAACUGUAAAACGUCAGCAAUGCUUCAUGUUACCAGAAGCAUUACAAUCGACAAUGAGAUUCCUCAGAUAUGGGAUUACUUUAAUGGUGGCAUUGCUUGUUUACCAGACACAGUAAAUCAGCAGCAGCUAAAGAGUUGGUUUAAGGGCAUGGGACCAUGGGGACACCAGGACACUCAGCAGUGUAAAGGAGCAACUUACUUAUCAUACUGGGGAAAACAGCAGGAGUGCCAUUUGUAACACAGUUUAAUUGCAUCUUAUCACUGGAGGCAUUAGAUUAACAAUACUGGUUAGACAUGUCCCUAAGGUAACAAUGUGAUCGCUUCAUUUUACAUGCACCCUUACAUUAACAAUAGCAAAAGGUUGGUAUAAGGACAUACGACAGUGGACGCAUUAGCACAAUGUACCUACAAGGAGGCAUAAAGUGGUGAUGCCGAGCUUGUUCACGCUAUGUGAGGGCAGCAAACCAAAUCCUGGAGACCUUUUACUAUGUGAGGGCAGCAAAUCUAAUCCUGGAGACCUUUUACUAUGUGAGGGCAGCAAAUCUAAUCCUCAGACCUUUUACUAUGUGAGGGCAGGAAAUCUAAUCCUGAGACCUUUUACUAUGUGAGGGCAGCAAAUCUAAUCCUGAGACCUUUUACUAUAUGAGGGCAGCAAAUCUAAUCCUGGAGACCUUUUACUAUGUGAUGGCAGCAAAUCUAAUCCUGGACAUACUCUGUUGACUUGUCCACCAGCCGCCACUUUCUAUCCUUUUUUUCAACCAAUAAUAGAUCUGUUCCUUAUCCAGUUUGUACUGCGUUUUCCCAUUAUUUCCCUUUUCAACCAAGAGACCGGUUGGGUAUCCGGUCUCUACUACUUUCACCAUAUUAUUUCCUCUUUGAAUCAAGUCCUAGAUUCAUGCUACAGCUUUCCCCCCUUUCUUUGUUGUUUGAACAAAGCCCUAGAUUCGAAUGCAUGAAGUAGCUUUACCUCUAAUAAUACUAAAAAUUUAGGUGGCUUUGGAAGAGCUGAUGGGUGUAGAAAAAGAUGCACAUGCAGACACGUGGGGAGCUGGGGCAGUAGAGCAAGGCCGCUUUCGAAGAACUUAUACCUGAGGGUCGCCGAGAUGUCGGCGGCGGCAGGUCGGACCUGCGGACAAUACGGCAGGGAGGAAGAAGGAUCGGAGGACCUCCCAAGCUGACACUGUGUCGGAGAGAACGGCAUGGGCAGAGGAUCGGGCCCCUCCGGCAGCUGUGGGUUUCCUCCCUCGGCGGCGAUGACCGCGUGAAUGAUGCACCUUUUAGUCCUCUACACACUGGCCAAAGGGAUCCGACUGGAUCUGUGACCAGCGGUGAGCAGAGAGAAAAUGUCGCUACCGUUGUCUUGUUUAUAUAUGGAGAGGAUGAGAGAAUGAAGAGAGCAACCCUAGUAAAGCAAGCGCUCAGGCCCCUGCGUCCAUAUAUAGUGGAGUGAUUAUCUUUUUUCUCUCCACAACAAGCUUUUCAAUUUGUGUACGUGGCAUUAAAGAAAAGAAACUCUCUAUUUAAGGUGACUACUCUACGACUCCUACUUACUACUACAGUAUUGUUCACUUGUGCUCCCCGCCCCUCCAUUCAUUGAACAACCCCACGGGUGAAUAAACAUACUGUAAGUACUGUAUUUAUAUAGAACGAACAAGCUCGAACUAUUUUCGUGUAGUUAAAAGUUGAGGGCGGGGCUUUUCCCGGACAGUACGCGCGGCAGUUUUCGGGUAAGCGGUUUGACAGAGAGGCGAGGAGGGUGAGCGAGUGGGGCUAUGCAAUUUGAUGGCGCGUUACUGCUGGAAAGACUUGUGAUAUGACCACUCACUAUAGUCAUGAAUUACUGGUGCUCCGACCGGGCCGGGGUGAUGCCCCCCUUCCGUUCUGCGCUCUAAUCUGGUGCAUGACACAUCGACCCGGAUGCUGGCUCUCCCACAUGUCGGAGUAGUAAGAAGGAGCAAAGAAUGAUGCAGUAUAUACUAGUACUAUACUACUCCAUCCGUUCCUAAAUAUAAGUCUUUGCAGAGAUUUCACUAUGGACCACAUACGGAGAAAAAUGAGUGAAUCUACAUAUAAAAUGCAUCUAUAUACAUCCAUAUGUGGUCCAUAGUGAAAUAUCUACGAAGACUUAUAUUUAGGAACGGAGGGAGUACUACUCAGGUCAGAGGAGUGCGAACCACGGCAGCCCAGUGAACCAGCUGUGCGAACCACGGUAGCCCAGUGAACCAGCAGUAGAAAACAAUGUGGUGAUAUGGCCAUAAAAAACAAUGUGCUACGGUCCACACUGUAGCAUGUACAGUAACACUCCUCUUUGUUUGGAUCCCUGAGUUAGAGCUAGUUUGGGUUGAAUAGCCUCAAAUUAUCAAAACAAGAGGGGUUAGUUUGAGCUAGUUUGCUCUAACCCAGCUAAAAAAACUAGCCCGGUGGAGAGGUUCUAAUUGGGUUAGUUAUCCUCGGGCCCACUAAAAGAGAACUAAAAAAAGGUCACCUGCCCGUACCAGAUUGCUCCCCUAAAAAAAUCUCACCUGCCCGCACCAGAUCGCUCCCCCCCUCUCGCACGACUCCUCUCUGUUCCCCAUAGGGCCGCCCGCCCAAGCGCCGCUUGCCCUCUCUCUCCUCCGGCCGCCCUCUCCUUCCGGCCUCCGCCGCCCUACUCCGGCCGCCCUCUCCCUCCGACCUUCGAAGGUCGCCUCGCUCCCCCUUCACCAGUCAUUUUUCUCCCUCAGUCGUGCGCGGCGGUGGCGCAUCUACCAGGGAGGUCGCGAGAGGGGUGAGUUUGUUCGUUCCUUCUCUGUCUCACGACUAUAAGGGCAUAUUUAUUCCCAAUAUAUUUUGGUGAUUGAUGACAAUGCUUGUGCGGACUAAUCGUGUGCGUUUAGUUCUUUCAGAGAUUCAUCCAUUGGCACGAGACGAUUUCCUCCCCUCGUGUUGUAAUUCAAGACGGUGUAGCUCCUUCGUUUCGUUGUUGGUGGACUAGUUUCGUAGGAGUCACCGUACUAUCAAGAGGGGAUCCAUUUUGGUAAGACUUGGGUGGAAUCUCACGUACACAUCCUUAUCACACCCGUCGUCUUUCCUUCCGCAUCUCUGGAGCUGCCGUUUUCCCCUUACUAUGCUCUUCUUUGCCCUAGCGGUAGUACCGCGUCCGCAACGGUAGUACCGCCGAAACUCCACAGCGGUAGUACCGCUCUCAGAGCGGUAGUACCGCUUGGGUUUUUCGGCCGUAGUACCGCUGUGCGUCUGGGCUACUUCCACCUCGAUUCUCGAAUGAAUUUUUCAUGUCGGGUUUUGCGGCACUAAGGGCGGUAGUAGGGGUGGUAGUACCGCUCUAAGCGGUAGUACCGCCCUUCCCUAGCGGUAGUAUCGCCCUGGUGUCAGGGCCCUGGGCAGCGCGGCAGUACCGCUGGGUCGAAGCGGUAGUAUCGCCCGGAGCGGUAGUACCGCUCUUCCCUGGCGGUAGUACCGCCCUGGGGUCAGGGCCCCAGGCAGCGCGGCAGUACCGCUAGGUCGAGCGGUAGUACCGCUCGGAGCGGUAGUACCGCCCUUCCCUAGUGGUAGUACCGCUCUGUGCGGGGCUGGUGAGUGGGAUAACAGUUGGAUUGUUCUUCCCACUAUAUAAAGGGGUCUUCUUCCCCAAAGUUGACCUACCUCUUUCCCCCAAAGCUCCAUUGUUGGUCCAAGCUCCAUUUUCGCCCGAUCUCUCUCCCUAGCCAAUCAAACUUGUUGAUUUGCUCGGGAUUGGUUGAGAAGGCCCAGAUCUACACUUCCACCAAGAGAAAUUUGAUUCCCCCCACUUAUCCCUAGCGGAUCUUGUUACUCUUGGGUGUUGAGCACCCUAGACGGUUGAGGUCACCUCGAAGCCAUACUCCAUUGUGGUGAAGCUUCGUGGUGUUGUUGGGAGCCUCCAAGUGUUGUGGAGAUUUCCCAAAUCUUAUUUGUAAAGGUCCGGUUGCCGCCUUCAAGGGCUCCAAUAGUGGAAUCACGGCAUCUCGCAUUGUGUGAGGGCUUGAGGAGAUUACGGUGGCCCUAGUGGCUUCUUGGGGAGCAUUGUGCCUCCACACCGCUCUAACGGAGACGUACUUCCCCUUAAAAGGAAGGAACUUCGGUAACACAUCCUCGUCUCCACCGGCUCCACUCUUGGUUAUCUUGUCCCUUUACUUUUGCAAGCUUACUUGAGUUAUAUCCAUUGCUUGCUUGUGUGCUUAUUGUCUUUGCAUCAUAUAGGUUGUCCACGUAGUUGCACAUCUAGACAACCUAUUUCAUUGCAAGUUUUAAUUUGUUAAAGAAAAGUCUAAAAAUUGUUAGUUGCCUAUUCACCCCCCCUCUAGUCAACCAUAUCGAUCCUUUCAAUUGGUAUCAGAGCCUCGUCUCUUUAUUAAGGACUUUGCCGUCCGAAGAGUAUGGUUGACGUCAACGACGGUGCGGAGGAACACUCUGGUGUGAAUCCCAUCUCGUCUUCGGCCGAAGGGGGAACCUCGGUCUCACGUGAGGAAUUCAAUGUGGCUUUAAACACAUUGAAAACCUCCAUGAUGGCCGAUGUUAAAAGCAUGUUUACUGAAUUUCUAGAGGGACUUAAACUAUCUACCUCACCAAUGAAAGUGGGUGAUCCCACUGACAAGGUGACGGAUGCUAACUCCGAUAAGGGGGAAGCUAACAAUGAAAAGAGUCCAUCUACUAGUGGUAGAAAUGGCACCGACAUCUUUGCCCAUGUGGAACCCCCGGUGUAUAGAGGACCGAUCCCCUCUACUCAUUUGAAUCAUGCCGGUCCUCCUCCUAAAUAUGUGAAAAAUGAAGAUUUUGAUGCUUGGCUCUAUCGCUUCAAGCGUCACUUAAAACAUGUGAACACUAACCUUUGGAGAAUUAUUGAAGAAGGUUUCUAUCCUCAUGAUCCAAGCAACUUCACCCCUCGAGAAGAAGUGGACAAUCAAUUAAAUGAAAGUGCUCUCUUCAUCAUCCAAGAUGCAAUCCUUCCCGAAGAUCUCCCUCAUCUUCGACCUCAUGCCAUGGCUAAAGAAGCAUGGAAAUGUGUCGAGCGUCUCUAUCGAGGAAGUGCUAGCAUUCAACGCUCCAACUAUGAAGUGGCAAAAGAUGAAGCCGAUGAGUUUGCAAUGAAGGAGGAUGAAGAACCUCAUGAGCUCUUUCGAAGAGUGACCAAACUCGCGGUCGCACUCCGAGAUCAUGGAAGCAAGGACACGGAUGGCAACUGGAUCAAGCGCAAGUUCCUCAAGGCCAUGAUGCCCUACAACAAGGCCAUGUCCUCCGUCAUUCGCCAAAGACUGGACUUCCACUCCAUGACCUCUAGUGAAGUGUUGGAUGAGUUUGUUGCAAUGAGCAUCUUGGACAAGACCGCCGACAAUGCGGUGCUCCGUUCCCAAAGGGCAAAGAAGCCCAAUCUUGCCUUGAAGGCCAAGGCUAGUGUGGAAGAAGAAGAAGAAGAGGAAGAUGAGGAGAGCAACCCCGAGGACACGAAGUAUGAUUAUCAUGAGCACAUGGCUCUUGCCUCAAGACAGUUUUGGAGUAAGAAGAAUACAAGACCCAACUUCAACAAGAACAACUCAAGUGGCCUCAAAGGGAAGCAACGAGUUAGAACCUAUUUCAACUGUGGCAAUGUUAGCCAUUUCGUUGUGGAUUGUCCCUACGAGAAGCGGGAAGACAAUGGUGGCAAGUUCAUCCGAAAAGACAAAGCCAAGUCCUUCCCAAACAAGAACAACUUCACCAAGAAGACUCCGUCUCGCGGGUUGGUGGUUCAAGAAGAAUACUGUGAGGAUGACGAUGAUGAUGAAGAUGGUGAAACAAUGGCCAUGUCAUCCGUUGCCAUUGUCACAACUCCCCGGGUGUCUCUCUUCGAUGCACCUAACGAGAACAUCACCGCCAAGUGCCUCAUGGCUAAGGCCACCAACAAGGUAACCUCCAACAUCAAAACCACCAUUAUUCCUAACCCUCCUUCAAUGAAUGAUUUUGAUAAUGGUAAGGGGUCUAAUGAGGAGAUCAAUGAAUUUGAGUCCUUCAUGAGUAAGCUCAAGGGCAAAUCCAAGAAGCACUUUGUUGCUCUCUUGGAACAACUUGGUGAAGCCAAUGACAUGAUCGAGGCUCACGAAGAAACCAUCUCUAAGAUGGAAAGUCAUAGUCGUGACUAUGCCGAUGAGAUAUCGGAUCUCUCUAAUGCUCUUGAGGAAGAGCGUGAGCAUCGUUUGGCUCUUGAGGAGUCACACAACGAUGGUCAUGCUAAACUAAAGAAAGAUCUUGAUCAUGCUCUUGUUGUGUCUCUGUUCUAGCUUCCGAGAAGGCUAAGCUUGGGGUUGAUCAUGUUAGACUCACGGAGGAGUUUGAUGUACUUGACAAGGCCCACAAGGUCUUGAAAGGUGCUGAUGCUACCCUCAAGGAGUCUCAUGCUCAACUCCAAGUUAAGCUAACCAAGGAAAAGGCCACAUUUCCUCACAUGGUCUUAAUUGAUAAUGCAAAUGCUACUAACCCUUGUUGUGAGCAUGUGCAUCUUGUGGAGGAGAAUGCCAAGUUGAAGGAACAACUCGAGAAAGGUCUUGUGUCAUGCAUACAAGGCGAGAAAAACCUAAAUGACCUUUUGAACAAUCAAAAGGAAGUUGUGGGCAAGGAGGGAGUUGGGUUCUCACCCAAAUCCAAGAACAAGAAGAAGAACAAGGAGAAGAAGAGCAAGACCGAUCGACCUCCUUCGCUCACGCAAACCUUUGUGAGGGAGGGAGAAGGUGCUCCUAAGGAGAAAAAGAACAAUGGGAAGAGUGGUGAUGCCAAAGAGCGCAAAGCCAUCUCUCCCAACAAAGCCGGCGACUUUAACCCGUCUUAUGUGUUGUGCCGUGCUAGUGAUGGGCAUGUUUAUGCUAAAUUUGUUGGUUCUCCUUAUGAGUACAUUGAAUGGUCUAUUUGGGUUCCUAAGACCCUUGUUACUAACAUCAAAGGACCCAUUACUCAAUGGGUACCUAAAACCAAGCAUUGAUCUCUUGUAGGUGUUUGCUUCCGGUAGGGGAUCAUGGUUGCUCGAUAGUGGAGCAACAAAUCAUAUGACCGGGAGCAAGGACUUGGUGGUGGACGUGCACAAGAUCCCAUCUAUGCCCACCAAUGUAGAAUGGGGUGAUGCCUCACAUUCUAAGGUAUUGGGUCUUGGCAAGGUUGUCAUUUCUCAUGAUCUAACGAUCGAGAAAGUCAUGCUUGUUGAGUCCCUUGCGUUCAAUUUACUUUCCGUUCGUCAACUCGCACUCAUGGGUUUUGCCACCUUCUUUGAUAUUGAUAUCGUGGCCCUCUUGUGGAGCAAGACUCUUAAAGUAGCCUUUGUUGGGCAUGUCGAGAACGGUCUCUAUGUGGUUAACUUCUCGGAGCAACCCACUAAGACCGCGACAUGCCUAAUGGCUAAAGUUGAUGUGGGUUGGCUUUGGCAUCGCCGUUUAGCCCACGUCAAUAUGAGAUCUUUGCAAAGCCUUCUCAAGGGGGACCAUGUUCAUGGACUAACGAAUGUUAGUUUUGCCAAAGAUCGUGUUUGCAAUGCUUGUAUCGAAGGAAAGCUUCAUGAGAUGGCUCACCCUCCCACGACUAUCAUCUACUCGAAGAGACCCUUGGAGCUCCUCCACAUGGACCUCUUUGGGCCCCCAUCCUUUGAUAGUCUUGGGGGUAGAAAGUAUUGCUUGGUGAUAGUGGAUGAUUAUUCAAGAUACACUUGGGUAUACUUCUUCAAGAGGAAGAGUGAGACUCAACAAACCGUCAUCGACUUUGCAAAUGAAGCUCAACGUCAACACAAUGCAAAGAUCUUGACAAUAAGAAGUGACAACGGCACCGAGUUCAAGAACUACACCUUGGAUGAGUUUCUUAGUGAUGAAGGGAUUAAGCAUCAAUAUUCUGCACCAUAUACCCCUCAACAAAAUGGUGUUGCGGAGAGGAAGAACCGGACGUUGAUGGAUGUGGCAAGAACCAUGAUGGCGGAGUUCAAGUCUCCAUACAACUUUUGGGCCGAGGCCAUCAACACAGCUUGUCAUGCAUCCAAUCGGCUCUAUCUCCGCAAAGGCUUGAAAAAAACUCUGUAUGAGAUACUCACCGGGAACAAGCCCAAUCUCAAGUACUUCCGGGUGUUCGGGUGUAAGUGUUUCAUUCUCAAGAAAGGUGUUCGUUUGUCUAAAUUCGAGGCUAGAGCUCAUGAGGGCAUAUUUGUUGGUUAUGCUACAAACUCUCAUGCUUACCGUGUUCUCAACAAGUCCAACGGGCUCAUUGAGGAGACGUGUAACAUAGAGUUUGAUGAAAAUAACGGCUCCCAAGUGGAGCAAAGUGGUACUUGUGAUGUAGGUGAUGAAAUUCCGCCCCAAGCCAUAAGAAGAAUGGGUAUUGGUCAUAUCCUACCCAUUGAGGAACCCCUUGUGGCCGAAGGAGAAGGACAAUGCUCCACCUCGGUGGAGCCUUCACCUACUCAAGACCCACACGCUUCCGAAGAACAAAGUGAAGGCCCUCAACCUAAGGAACAAGACCAAGGGCAAGAUCAAUCACAAGAUAGUGAUGAACCUCCACAUGAUGCCCAAGGUCAAGUUCUUCCCCUCGAGCAAGUUCAAGAUCAUGAGCAAGCUCAAGAUCAAGAACAAGCUCAUGACGACGCUCAAGAUGAUCAAGUGAACCCUCCUCCUUCGACAUCCGAGGAGGAAUUGGAGCGUCGUGCCAUGAAGAUUGCUUCCAAACUCACCACCAAAGGUCAUCUCAUGGAGAAUGUGGUUGGAAGCCUAAGAAAGGGGGUAAGCACUCGUAGACAGUUAGCAAACUAUUGUGAACAUCAUGCGUUUGUCUCUUGUGUUGAACCCCAUAAGGUCUAUGAGGCACUCGAAGACUCUGAUUGGCUCAAUGCCAUGCAUGAAUAACUCAACAACUUUGAGUACAACAAGGUGUGGAGAUUGGUGCCGAGGCCUUCCGGGAACCAUAACAUCAUUGGAACCAAGUGGAUCUUCAAGAACAAGCAAGAUGCUCAUGGAAACAUCAUUCGCAACAAGGCAAGAUUGGUAGCACAAGGCUACUCCCAAGUCGAGGGUAUCGACUACGGUGAAACCUUUGCUCCCGUUGCUCGUCUUGAAUCCAUUCGUUUGUUGAUUGCUUAUGCUUCCCAUCACAACUUUAAGUAGCAACAAAUGGAUGUUAAAAGUGCUUUUCUUAAUGGUCCUAUUAAUGAGUUGGUCUAUGUCAAGCAACCCCUCGGGUUCGAGGAUCCCUUCUUCCCGGAUCAUGUGUAUCAACUCGAUAAGGCACUCUAUGGCCUUAAACAAGCCCCACGUGCGUGGUAUGACCACCUUACCGAGUUGUUACAAGAUCGUGGAUUUGAAGUGGGGCUAAUCGAUCCCACUCUUUUUACUAAGAAGGUCAAAGGGGAGUUGUUUGUAUGCCAACUAUAUGUUGAUGACAUUAUCUUUGGUUCCCCUAACAAAGCUUUCAAUGAAGAAUUUGCCGCUCUCAUGACCUCUAAGUUGAAGAUGUCUUCGAUGGGAGAGUUGAAGUUCUUCCUUGGUUUUGAUAUCAAACAAAGAAGAGAAGGUACCUUCAUCAACCAAGCCAAAUACAGUCAAGACAUGCUCAAGAGAUUCAAGUUAAGUGAUGUCAAGCCGGCUUCUACUCCAAUGCCCACCAAGUGCCAACUUGACAUUGAUCCCAAUGGUAAAGCGGUGGAUCAAAAGGUAUAUCGCUCCAUGAUUGGCUCCUUGCUUUACCUUUGUGCAUCUAGACCAGAUAUCAUGUUGAGUGUGGUGAUGUGUGCACGGUUUCAAGCUGCACCGAAGGAAAGUCACUAUGUGGCGGUCAAGCGAAUCUUUCGAUAUUUGGCUCAUACCCCAAACUUUGGCUUAUGGUACCCAAGAGGGGCAAACUUCAAGCUUGAGGGGUUUACGGAUUCCGAUUGGGCGGGAGACAAAGUGGAUAGGAAGUCCACUUCCGGAGGGUGCCAGUUUCUUGGGUGCUCUUUGGUGAGUUGGUCUUCCAAAAAGCAAAGUUGUGUGUCUCUCUCGUCCACCGAAGCAGAAUAUGUGGCGGUCGGUAGUUGUUGUGCACAACUCUUGUGGAUGAGGCAAACUUUAAAGGAAUACAGUGUCAUUUGUGACAAAGUGCCUCUUUGGUGUGACAACGAAAGUGCCAUCAAGAUUUCUCUCAACCCGGUGCAACACUUCAAGACGAAGCACAUUGAGAUUCGGUAUCACUUCAUCCGGGAUCACAUUAGGCGAGGAGAGAUCAAGCUCAAGUAUGUCAACACUCAUGAUAACCUUGCAGAUAUUUUCACGAAGCCCUUGGAUGAAGCAAGAUUUCGCGAGUUAAGGCAUGAGCUAAAUAUCAUUGAUUCGAGCAAUGUGACUUGAACCCUUGCACACCCCACCCCACUCAACUUGGUAUCUAGCUUAGAUGUAGGCAUGGACAUAGGGGGAGUGUUGUUCCCUCAAUGAACUUUCCCUCCCCCCAUUAUGCAUAAAACAAUCAACUCUUUCACAAUAGCCAUUUUUGAUGGUACUUGUGCUUCAAAGUCGAGUUUUGGUCAUGGGCCCAAGGAUAAUUCUUCGCGGUGCCAUACCAAUUGACUCAAAUUUAGGUGGCUCCGGCCACCGCCCUCUCCUAAGAGAGGCCAGAGCUUGCUCUGUUUCGUGUGGUUGGUUGUGUUUGAGUUGUUUCUGGUCUGUUGUGUGUGUGUGUGUGUUCCCACGUCGGUCCUCUCGUUCUUUUGGCUUUGCUUUCCGUUUCUUUUUGAGCGUUAGCCGUUGGUCUAGAAGUAGCGUGGUUGUUGAAGCGGUACUACCGCUGGUGGCGAGUGGUACUACCGCUCUUAGCGGUACUACCGCCCUCCAGAGCGGUACUACCGCUCCCAGCGGUACUACCGCCCUCCAGAGCGGUACUACUGCUGUGAGGCGCGGGCUGGGGGUUAUAUCGGGGGCAGGGGGAGUUUCUUCUCCCCCAUACCCAUUCGCUCACCCGCUUCGCCCUGUUCGUCUCUCUCUUCAGCAACCGGCGCCGCGGGAGGGCUCCGGCGGAUCUCCCUCUCCGGGGCGCUCCUCUCCGUUUCCUUCGGUGGAAUCGAUCCCCACCUUGUCCUCUUGCCAUGGAUGCCGGUAUUGCCCCCGUUCCCUGUUUCCUUUUGUCUAGAUUUCCAAUCUAUCAUUCUAGGGGCAAUAGCAGUUGCAUCUCUAGAUUUUUGUCCAGAUCUAGGCUUGAGUAGGAUGGAGAUUGCUUCUAGACUAUUUGGAUUAGUGUUUGGUUGGAGUAUUUUUGAAUUUGGUAGGCGGUAGUACCGGAUCUGACCAUGGUAGUAGGAAACUGCUGUUUCCCCGCCUCGAGCGGUACUACCGCUCUCCCAGAGCGGUACUACCGCUUGGAGCGGUACUACCGCUCAAGGGUCACGGUACUACCGCCUUCUACCCAGUUCCAUCAUCCUCCUACCUCUCAGUGAUCUUUUUUGUUCGUGUUUGUGGCUUACGCUCGUUCUUUCUGGUUGUUUGCGUGUUUGUGUGUGUGGUUCCAGGUGAUGAGGUUCCUGAGCAUCAGGCUCGUCGUGUCAACCCCGGUCGUGCCUCGUCCAAGCGCUACCGCACCACUGAGCCCAUUGAGCCUGCCGGAGGAUCUUCUAGUGCUCCACCUCCUCCCCAACUGCAGAAGAAGCCUAGGGUCAAGCCAAAGCCAAGCAAAACCGUGCUAUAAAUGCCGCCCAAGGAGUUCUAGGCAAGGCGCCGCCGCAACCCGUAUGAGGUCGACCAAGAUCCCACUUUGGUCAACCGUCCGUUCUGGAACAGGUUCCAGUUUGCCAUCUAUUUUGAUGUUCUCAAAGCCAAGAAGAAUCUCUAUGUCAACGUGCACUCCAUCGACACUGAGCAUAUGGAGAAUGAUCCUGACUACUUUGGUGAAGCUCUUCAGAUGUGCUCUCAGCUGAACAUUCUCGGGAUCAUGCAAUUCAACAAGGACUAUGAUGCUGAUAUUGUGGCCCAAUUCUAUGCCACGGUUCACCUUGGGACCGAUGAGGACAGGACUCUGACUUGGAUGACAAAUGGCAAGUUGCUGUCAGUCAACUGGAAAGCUUUCAUGCAGUUGAUUGGGGUGGAAGAUCUUGGACUUGAGUCUUCUGUCGGCUUUCGCCCCCACCGUCGCGCCAAUGCCACUCACAAGCAAGCUCUGUGGCCCUACUGCACUCUGAGGAUCAACCAUGAGACGAAGAAGGAGACCUAUGAGCUGCCUGUCUAUCUGGACAUUCUUCACCGUAUCUUAAGAGAGACUCUUUUCCCUCGCAUCGGGAAUCUGGACCAGGUUCACUCUUAUCUCGUGGACAUGCUUCUCUUCUGUCAGCGGGAGAAGGGGCAGAGCACCAGAGAGUCCCUGGAUAUCUCUCAUGUUAUGUGGUCUGAGCUGGUUUCUGCUAUCUCCGAGCGCAAGUGCCCGAUUUAUGGUCCGUUCAUUAUGCUGCUCAUUGAGAAGGCCUGGGAUCGUGUCUAUCCCAAGGUGGUGCUGGAGAUUGGAGAGUUGGUUUCUCACGAUGUCAAGCGUCUGAGGAAGAAGGAUAACUGGGGCACUCAGGCCCCUAGGACUGGAUUUCCUUCAUCUGCUGGUGCCAUGGAGACUGAGGAGGAGUUUGGGGCUGAGGAUGAGGAUGAAGAUGAUGACUACGUGCCUUCUGAGGCGGAGCCCUCUUGGGCCAAGAAGCUCAAGAUCAAGGUGAAGAAGUUGUUUUGCAUGGAGUCUCACGGUCAGUACAUGACUCAUGUGGCUGAGAAGAAGGCCCGAGGUCGCCACAAGGAGUUCAUGCAUCAGAUGGGUUCUAUUGUGAUUAGUGGUUCUGAGGAUCAGCUUACCGAGGAGGAGGAGUGGAUUCAGCAGCACUGCCCCUGGACUGAUUCUGAUGCUGAGCACUUCCCGGCUGACGAUGGCACUGCAGAUGAUCCCUCUGAGAUCUGAUGGGUGUGCAUCGUUUGCCUUCACCUGGAGCCAUAGCAUCACUCCCUCUCCUUUUUGGUGUCUCGAUGCCAAAGGGGGAGAGAGUUUAGGGAUUUGUGUUUUGUGUCUUCUUCCGUCUUUUGUGUUUGUGCUUUCCUUGUUGCUUUAUUUGGUUUGUGUCAGUGAGACCUAAGUUUCGGUUCUGUCAGUAAGAUCUAAGCUCGAGUCAUAUGGUGUGAGACAUAUGCUACCUUAUCUUUCCGUAUCAUUAUCUAUGUCUAUCUAGCUUAUGAGUUCCAUGCUUAUCCUGUUAUAUUUAUGUUGCUCUCAUAUCUUGCUUAGGUAGUUGGUCUCUAAAAUGUAGGGGGAGCAUUGAUCCUGGCAUCUGUGUCCUGCAGUCCAAAGCACUUUUCUAGGUAGCACACAUCCAGGGGGAGCCCUUCUACAUUUUAGGACGUUUGUGCUUUUGCGCUUAUCCUAUAUCUAUCAUAUUGUGCAAAUCCCGUAUUGUCAUCAAUCCACCAAAAAGGGGGAGAUUGUAAGGGCAUAUUUAUUCCCAAUAUGUUUUGGUGAUUGAUGACAAUGCUUGUGCGGACUAAUCGUUUGCGUUUAGUUCUUUCAGAGAUUCAUCCAUUGGCACAAGACGAUUUCCUCCCCUCGGUGUUGUAAUUCAAGACGGUAUAGCUCCUUCGUUUCGUUGUUAGUGGACUAGUUUCAUAGGAGUCACCGUACUAUCAAGAGGGGAUCCAUUUUGGUAAGACUUGGGUGGAAUCUCACGUACACAUCCUUAUCACACCCGUCGUCUUUCCUUCCGCAUCUCUGGAGCUGCCGUUUUCCCCUUACUAUGCUCUGCUCUGCCCUAGCGGUAGUACCCCGUCCAUAGCGGUAGUACUGCCGAAACUCCACAGCAGUAGUACCGCUCUCAGAGCGGUAGUACCGCUCCGAGUGGUAGUACUGCUCCGAGCGGUAGUACCGCUCUCAGAGCGCUAGUACUGCUCUCAGAGCAGUAGUACCGCUUGGGUUUUUUGGCCGUAGUACCGCUGUGCGUCUGGGCUACUUCCGCCUCGAUUCUCGAACGAAUUUUUUGUGUCGGGUUUUGCGGCACUAAGGGAGGUAGUAGGGGCGGUAGUACCGCUCUAAGCGGUAGUACCGCCCUUCCCUAGCGGUAGUACCGCCCUGGUGUCAGGGCCCUGGGCAGCGCGGCAGUACCGCUGGGUCGAAGCGGUAGUACCGCCCGAAGCGGUAGUACCGCUCUUCCCUGGCGGUAGUACCGCCCUGGGGUCAGGGCCCCAGGCAGCACGGCAGUACCGCUAGGUCAAGCGGUAGUACCGCCCGGAGCGGUAGUACCGCCCUUCCCUAGCGGUAGUACCGCUCUGUGCGGGGCUGGUGAGUGGGAUAACGGUUGGAUUGUUCUUCCCACAAUAUAAAGGGGUCUUCUUCCCCAAAGUUGACCUACCUCUUUCCCCCAAAGCUCCAUUGUUGCUCCAAGCUCCAUUUUCACCCGAUCUCUCUCCCUAGCCAAUCAAACUUGUUGAUUUGCUCGGGAUUGGUUGAGAAGGCCCAGAUCUACACUUCCACCAAGAGAAAUUUGAUUCCCCCCACUUAUCCCUAGCGGAUCUUGUUACUCUUGGGUGUUGAGCACCCUAGACGGUUGAGGUCACCUCGAAGCCAUAUUCCAUUGUGGUGAAGCUUCGUGGUGUUAUUGGGAGCCUCCAAGUGUUGUGGAGAUUGCCCCAAUCUUGUUUGUAAAGGUCUGGUUGCCGCCUUCAAGGGCUCCAAUAGUGGAAUCACGGCAUCUCGCAUUGUGUGAGGGCGUGAGGAGAUUAUGGUGGCCCUAGUGGCUUCUUGGGGAGCAUUGUGCCUCCACACUGCUUUAAUGGAGACGUACUUCCUCUUAAAAGGAAGGAACUUCGAUAACACAUCCUCGUCUCCACCGGCUCCACUCUUGGUUAUCUUGUCCCUUUACUUUUGCAAGCUUACUUGAGUUAUAUCCAUUGCUUGCUUGUGUGCUUAUUGUCUUUGCAUCAUAUAGGUUGUCCACGUAGUUGCACAUCUAGACAACCUAUUUCAUUGCAAGUUUUAAUUUGUUAAAGAAAAGUCUAAAAAUUGUUAGUUGCCUAUUCACCCCCCUCUAGUCAACCAUAUCGAUCCUUUCAACGACCAUAUCAUUGAUCUUGCUUGCUCUAGCGCUAAUUCUGAUUUGGAAAAGUAGAUCCUGAUCGAACUUGCUAUAGAUUUGCGGUGCACGCAUGGAAUUGUUUGAUGCUGCUUGAGGAGGUAAUAAAUCUUUCUAGAGGCCCAAAGAUUCAUGUCACCUUUCUAGGUAUUUCAAUUUCAGGCUUGCAUUAUUUGUAGAGGCCCAAAGAUUCAGUUCACCUUUCUAGGUAUUUCAAUUUCAGGCUUGCAUUGUUUCUAGAGGCCCAAAGAUUCAGUUCACCUUUCUAGGUAUUUGAGUUUCAGGCUUGCAUUAUUUCUAGAGGCCCAAAGAUUUAGUUCACCUUUCUAGGUAUUUCAGUUUCAGGCUUGCAUUAUUUCUAGAGGCCCAAAGAUUCAGUUCACCUUUCUAGGUAUUUCAGUUUCAGGCUUGCAUUAUUUCUAGAGGCCCAAAGAUUCAGUUCACCUUUCUAGGUAUUUAAGUUUUAGGCUUGCAUUAUUUCUAGAGGCCCAAAGAUUCAGUUCACCUUUCUAGGUAUUUCAGUUUCAGGCUUGCAUUAUUUCUAGAGUCCCAAAGAUUCAGUUCACCUUUCUAGGUAUUUUAGUUACAAGCUUGCAUUAUUUCUAGAGGCCCAAAUAUUAAGUUCCCAGCCGGUGGCAAGCGGCCUUGCUACCCAUGCCGGUGUCGACCUCAACUCGCAAGGGCCGGCGUCGGAGGGGUUCCCGGGGCUUGGACUCUACAGAGCCUCCCUCCAGAGCAACGAUGGUGAGCUCCUCCCUCGGUGCGUGAGGGGCUCCGGGCUCCCUCCCUAUCGUGAACGACUUCCGUGAUGAGUUAGCUCAUUCUUUGUUUCAUGAAGUGUUUUUUAUUUUGUGAAGCUUGAUUGACGACUUGUAUGUUUAAGUGGGAUAUCUCAUUUGUAUGGACAAAGUAAAAAUUAUCAUGUUUGGCAUGCUUGAUUUGUAUAGAUGGUUCGUUUAUGUCAAUUGUGAGCGGGAGGAGGCCACAGAAGAGCCAGCCACACCAAGAGGGUGCUUGGAUCCAAGGGACUUAUUUUAGACUGACUAAAAAUAGGGUCCAAAGUAGUCAAGUGAUUGAGAUAGAGCAUUUAUUGUCAAUCUAACCCUGCCAUCCAUACACCUCUUUGGUUUAGAGUUAGUUCAGGGUUAGAAUCUAACUCUAACCUCUAACUGAUUUAGAGUUCUCCUCGUCUCGGUUCAUUGCCAUCAUACUUUCCCCAUUCCUGUGUUUUCAGUAUCUUGUGAAUCAUAGAGGCCCUUUUUUUAUCCGGGAAAAAUCAAAGAGGCCCUUAGAGUGGUUUAGGUCCGGUCAUUUUUUAUAAACGUGCUCCGGUUUCCACGAAAAUAAUCCGGUUUCAUGUAGUAAUUCAUUGAUUUAUUUAUUCUUCUGCGGGGGGUUUGCAUGUAAUUCGUGAGGUCUAAAAUGUAAAGUACCCCGGCAUAUGCUCCGAGUCGUGCAUGCACUACGACCCAGAUGCUCUAUGUCCCACAUGUCGGCGAAUGGGAGCACGUUGAAAUAGCCUAGGAGUACAUAUAGGAGGAUAAAUGCGUGAAAAAAUAUGUACUGUGAAGCGUAGCCGCGGUUUGAAAAGGAGACCUAAAGUGAUGACAGCUAUAGGUCGCACGCACCCAACUAGUGGUACUAGACAUACGACUAAUUUUUCCCUUAAAAAAAGAGGCACGAGUGUUCAGUACUCCUAUUCUAUAAACACGAGUCCCAUCUGACAACAGCAUCCGUGCUACAGCUAGCUCUCCUCCCUCGUUUCUCUCUUCUAAUUCUAAACUCGGCCGACGCCCGGUGGGUGGGGUGGGUUUGCUCAACUGCGGCCCCACCUCACAGUGAAAACGUUACGACUGGAAUAAAAAAUGCCAUAUACUCCCUCCGUUCAUAAAUAUAAGCCUUUUUAGAUACUAGUUCAAAUGGAAUACAGCAUACAGAUGUAUGAAGACAUACUUUAGAGUGUAGAUUCACUCAUUUUGCUCCGUAUGUAGUAGUCACUUGCUGGAAUCUUUAGAAAGACUUAUAUUUGGGAACAGAGGGAGUACUAUACUAAUAAAACAUUAAGGCCAUGAGGCGAUGCAGUGUUGGUUACAGGAGGCAAGAAGAAGAGAUGCAUCCAUCAACGACGUCCACCUCCUCGACUCAGGGCACCGGCCCACCGAACGGCGCCUAAGUAGCAGCGGCUUUCGUGGCCAGGUCGACGUGCUUCUGAACAAUGGCGUCCAAAGAUUCCAGCCGCUGGAAGAAGGUCAACGUCUUUCUGUCCUCGCUUGCCUUGUAGUGGUGUAUGUAGACGAUUUCCUCGUAGACAUGGAUGUGCAGGUCGACGGUUACUUGCAUGGCGAGGCGCUGCACGGCGAGCACGGCCUCGAGGUGCACAUUCUUCGUCGCGACCUCCGGCACCUACAGGGCCACCAGGGCUUGAAAGAGUUCGUCACCAUGUAGGCCGAUGAGGGUGGCAGGCAAUGAGGAGCCUGGGCGCGCGGGCUGGAGCAGUACGGCAAGGUCGUCCGCGCGCUUCUUGUGAAGGAAAUAUGCCCUAGAGGCAAUAAUAAAGUUAUUAUUUAUUUCCUCGUAUCAUGAUAAAUGUUUAUUAUUCAUGCUAGAAUUGUAUUAACCGGAAACAUGAUACAUGUGUGAAUACAUAGACAAACAUAUAGUCACUAGUAUGCCUCUACUUGACUAGCUCAUUAAUCAAAUAUGGUUAUGUUUCCUAACCAUAGACAUGUGUUGUCAUUUGAUUAAUGGGAUCACAUCAUUAGGAGAAUGAUGUGAUUGACAUGACCCAUUCCGUUAGCCUAGCACUUGAUCGUUUAGUAUAUUGCUAUUGCUUUCUUCAUGACUUAUACAUGUUCCUAUAACUAUGAGAUUAUGCAACUCCCGUUUACCGGAGGAACACUUUGGGUACUACCAAAUGUCACAACGUAACUGGGUGAUUAUAAAGGAGUACUACAGGUGUCUCCGAAGGUACAUGUUGAGUUGGCGUAUUUCGAGAUUAGGUUUUGUCACUCCGAUUGUCGGAGAGGUAUCUCUGGGCCCUCUCGGUAAUGCACAUCACUAUAAGCCUUGCAAGCAAUGUGACCAAUGAUUUGGUUAUGGGAUGAUGCAUUACGUAACGAGUAAAGAGACUUGCCAGUAACAAGAUUGAACUAGGUAUUGGAUACCGACGAUCAAAUCUCGGGCAAGUAACAUACCGAUGACAAAGGGAACAACGUAUGUUGUUAUGCGGUUUGACCGAUAAAGAUCUUCGUAGAAUAUGUAGGAACCAAUAUGGGCAUCCAGGUUCCGCUAUUGGUUAUUGACCGAGAAUAGUUCUAGGUGAUGUCUACAUAGUUCUCGAACCCGUAGGGUCCGCACGCUUAACGUUACGAUGACAGUUUUAUUAUGAGUUUAUAAGUUUUGAUGUACCAAAGUUUGUUCGGAGUCCCGGAUGUGAUCACGGACAUGACGAGGAGUCUCGAAAUGGUCGAGACAUAAAGAUUGAUAUAUUGGACGACUAUAUUCGGACACCGGAAGUGUUCCGGACGUUGUCGGAGAAAACCGGAGUGCCGGAGGGUUACCGGAACCCCCCGGGGAGAGAUAAUGGGCCACAUGGGCCUUGGUGGAAAGAGAGAGGGGCGGCCAGGGUGGGCCGCGCGCACCCUCUCCCUCUGGUCCGAAUUGGACUAGGAGGGGGGGCCUCUUUCCUUCCCCCCUCUUCCCCUUCCUUCCCCCUCCUAGUAGGAGUAGGAAAGGGGGAGUCCUACUCCUACUAAGAGGAGGACUCCUCCUCCUUGGCGCGCCCACAAGGGCCAGCCUCCCUCCCCCUCCCUCCUUUAUAUACGGGGGCAGGGGGCACCCCAGGACACACAAGUUGAUCUACGGAUCGUUCCUUAGCCGUGUGUGGUGCCCCCCUCCACCAUAUUCCACCUCGGUCAUAUUGUCGCGGAGUUUAGGCGAAGCCCUGCGCCGGUACAACAUCAUCAUCGUCACCACGCCGUCGUGCUGAUGGAACUCAUCCCCGAAGCUUUGCUGGAUCGGAGCCCGGGGAUCGUCAUCGAGCUGAACAUGUGCUGAACUCGGAGGUGCUGUACAUUCGGUGCUUGGAUCGGUCGGAUCGUGAAGACGUACGACUACAUCAACCGCGUUGUCAUAACGCUUCCGCUUACGGUCUACGAGGGUACAUGGACAACACUCUCCCCUCUCGUUGCUAUGUCAUCACCAUGAUCUUGCGUGUACAUAGGAAAUUUUUUGAAAUUACUACGUUCCCCAACAGUGGCAUCCGAGCCUGGUUUUAUGCAUAGAUGUCAUAUGCACGAGUAGAACACAAGUGAGUUGUGGGCGACACAAGUCAUACUGCUUACCAGCAUGUCAUACUUUGGUUCAGCGGUAUUGUGAGAUGAAGCGGCCCGGACCGACAUUACACGUACGCUUACGCGAGACUGGUUUCACCGUUACGAGCACUCGUGCUUAAAGGUGACUGGCGGGUGUCUGUCUCUCUCACUUUAGCUGAAUCGAGUGUGGCUAUGCCCGGUCCUUGCGAAGGUUAAAACAACACUAACUUGACAAACUAUCAUUGUGGUUUUGAUGCGUAGGUAAGAACGGUUCUUGCUAAGCCCGUAGCAGCCACGUAAAACUUGCAACAACAAAGUAGAGGACGUCUAACUUGUUUUUGCAGGGCAUGUUGUGAUGUGAUAUGGUCAAGACGUGAUGCUAUAUUUUAUUGUAUGAGAUGAUCAUGUUUUGUAACCGAAGUUAUCGGCAACUGGCAGGAGCCAUAUGGUUGUCGCUUUAUUGUAUGAAAUGCAAAUGCCCUGUAAUUGCUUUACUUUAUCACUAAGCGGUAGCGAUAGUCAUAGAAGCAAUAGAUGGCGUAAACGACAACGAUGCUACAAUGAAGAUCAAGGUGUCGCGCCAGUGACGAUGGUGAUCACGACGGUGCUUCGGAGAUGGAGAUCACAAGCACAAGAUGAUGAUGGCCAUAUCAUAUCACUUAUAUUGAUUGCAUGUGAUGUUUAUCCUUUAUGCAUCUUAUCUUGCUUUGAUUGACGGUAGCAUUUUAAGAUGAUCUCUCACUAAAAUUAUCAAGAAGUGUUCUCCCUGAGUAUGCACCGUUGCCAAAGUUCGCCGUGCCCAGACACCACGUGAUGAUCGGGUGUGAUAAGCUCUACGUCCAUCUACAACGGGUGCAAGCCAGUUUUGCACACGCAGAAUACUCAGGUUAAACUUGACGAGCCUAGCAUAUGCAGAUAUGGCCUCGUAACACGGAGACCGAAAGGUCGAGCGUGAAUCAUAUAGUAGAUAUGAUCAACAUAGUGAUGUUCACCAUUGAAAACUACUCCAUCUCACGUGAUGAUCGGUUAUGGUUUAGUUGAUUUGGAUCACGUGAUCACUUAGAUGACUAGAGAGAUGUCUGUCUAAGUGGGAGUUCUUAAGUAAUAUGAUUAAUUGAACUUAAAUUUAUCAUGAACUUAGUACCUGAUAGUAUUUUGCUUAUCUAUGUUUGUUGUAGAUAGAUGGCUCGUGCUGUUGUUCCGUUGAAUUUUAAUGCGUUCCUUGAGAAAGCAAAGUUGAAAGAUGAUGGUAGCAAUUACACGGACUGGGUCCGUAACUUGAGGAUUAUCCUCAUUGCUGCACAGAAGAAUUACGUCCUGGAAGCACCGCUGGGUGCCAGGCCUGCUGCUGAUGCAACUGACGAAGUUAAGAACGUCUGGCAGAGCAAAGCUGAUGACUACUCUAUAGUUCAGUGUGCCAUACUUUACGUCUUAGAACUGGGUCUUCAACGACGUUUUGAAUGUCAUGAAGCAUAUGAGAUGUUCCAGGAGUUGAAGUUAAUAUUUCAAGCAAAUGCCCGGAUUGAGAGAUAUGAAGUCUCCAAUAAGUUCUACAGCUGUAAGAUGGAGGAGAAUAGUUCUGUUAGUGAGCAUGUACUCAAAAUGUCUGGGUAUAAUAAUCACUUGAUUCAACUGGGAGUUAAUCUUCCGGAUGAUAGCGUCAUUGACAGAAUUCUCCAAUCACUGCCACCAAGCUACAAGAGCUCUGUGAUGAACUAUAAUAUGCAAGGGAUGAACAAGACUAUUCCCGAGCUCUUCGCAAUGCUAAAAGCUGCGGAGGUAGAAAUCAAGAAGGAGCAUCAAGUGUUGAUGGUCAACAAGACCACUAGUUUCAAGAAAAAGGGCAAAGGGAAGAAGAAGGGGAACUUCAAGAAGAACAGGAAGCAAGUUGCUGCUCAAGAGAAGAAACCCAAGUCUGGACCUAAGCCUGAAACUGAGUGCUUCUACUGCAAGCAGACUGGUCAACUGGAAGCGGAACUGCCCCAAGUAUUUGGCGGAUAAGAAGGAUGGUAAAGUGAACAAAGGUAUAUGUGAUAUACAUGUUAUUGAUGUGUACCUAACUAGAGCUCGUAGUAGAACCUGGGUAUUUGAUACUGGUUCUGUUGCUAAUAUUUGCAACUCGAAACAGGGACUACGGAAUAAGCGAGCAUUGGCCAAGGACGAGGUGACGAUGCGCGUGGGAAACGGUUCCAAAGUCGAUGUGAUCGCGGUCGGCACGCUACCUCUACAUCUACCUUCGGGAUUAGUUUUAGACCUGAAUAAUUGUUAUUUGGUGCCAGCGUUGAGCAUGAACAUUAUAUCUGGAUCUUGUUUGAUGCGAGACGGUUAUUCAUUUAAAUCAGAGAAUAAUGGUUGUUCUAUUUAUAUGAGUAAUAUCUUUUAUGGUCAUGCACCCUUGAAGAGUGGUCUAUUUUUAUUAAAUCUCGAUAGUAGUGAUACACAUAUUCAUAGUGUUGAAACCAAAAGAUGCAGAGUUAAUAAUGAUAGUGCAACUUAUUUGUGGCACUGCCGUUUAGGUCAUAUCGGUGUAAAGCGCAUGAAGAAACUCCAUACUGAUGGAAUUUUGGAAUCACUUGAUUAUGAAUCACUUGGUACUUGCGAACCGUGCCUCAUGGGCAAGAUGACUAAAACACCGUUCUCCGGUACUAUGGAGAGAGCAACAAAUUUGUUGGAAAUCAUACAUACAGAUGUAUGCGGUCCGAUGAAUGUUGAAGCUCAUGGUGGAUAUCGUUAUUUUCUCACCUUCAUAGAUGAUUUAAGCAGAUAUGGGUAUAUCUACUUAAUGAAACACAAGUCUGAAACAUUUGAAAAGUUCAAAGAAUUUCAGAGUGAAGUGGAAAAACAUCGUAACAAGAAAAUAAAAUUCCUACGAUCUGAUCGUGGAGGAGGAUAUUUGAGUUACGAGUUUGGUUUACAUUUGAAACAAUGCGGAAUAGUUUCGCAGCUCACGCCACCCGGAACACCACAACGAAAUGGUGUGUCCGAACGUCGUAAUCGUACUUUACUAGAUAUGGUGCGAUCUAUGAUGUCUCUUACUGAUUUACCGCUAUCGUUCUGGGGUUAUGAUUUAGAGACGGCCGCAUUCACGUUAAAUAGGGCACCAUCAAAAUCCGUUGAGACGACGCCUUAUGAACUGUGGUUUGGCAAGAAACCAAAGUUGUCGUUUCUUAAAGUUUGGGGCUGCGAUGCUUAUGUGAAGAAACUUCAACCAGAUAAGCUCGAACCUAAAUCGGAGAAAUGUGUCUUCAUAGGAUACCCAAAAGAAACAGUUGGGUAUACCUUCUAUCACAGAUCCGAAGGCAAGACAUUCAUUGCUAAGAAUGGAUCCUUUCUAGAGAAGGAGUUUCUCUCGAAAGAAGUGAGUGGGAGGAAAGUAGAACUUGAUGAGGUAACUGUACCUGCUCCCUUAUUGGAAAGUAGUUCAUCACAUGAAUCGGUUCCUAUGACACCUACACCAAUUAGUGAGGAAGCUAAUGAUAUUGAUCAUGAAACUUCAGAUCAAGUUUCUACUGAACUUCGAAGGUCUACCAGAGUAAGAUUCGCACCAGAGUGGUACAGUAAUCCUAUUCUGGAAAUCAUGUUACUUGACCAUGACGAACCUACGAACUAUGAGGAAGCGAUGAUGAGCCCAGAUUCCGCAAAAUGGCUAGAGGCCAUGAAAUCUGAGAUGGGAUCCAUGUAUGAGAACAAAGUAUGGACUUUGGUUGACUUGCCCGAUGAUUGGCAGGCCAUUGAGAACAAAUGGAUCUUUAAGAAGAAGACUGACGCUGAUGGUAAUGUAACUGUCUAUAAAGCUCGACUUGUCGCAAAAGGUUUUCGACAAGUUCAAGGGGUUGACUAUGAUGAGACUUUCUCACCCGUAGCGAUGCUUAAGUCUGUCUGAAUCAUGUUAGCCAUUGCUGCAUUUCAUGAUUAUGAAAUCUGGCAAAUGGAUGUCAAAACUGCAUUCUUGAAUGGAUUUCUGGAAGAAGAGUUGUAUAUGAUGCAGCCAGAAGGUUUUGUUGAUCCAAAAGGUGCUAACAAAGUAUGCAAGCUCUAGCGAUCCAUUUAUGGACUGGUGCAAGCAUCUCGGAGUUGGAAUAAACGCUUUGAUAGUGUGAUCAAAGCAUAUGGUUUUAUACAGACUUUUGGAGAAGCCUGUAUUUACAAGAAAGUGAGUGGGAGCUCUGUAGCAUUUCUGAUAUUAUAUGUAGAUGACAUAUUAUUAAUUGGAAAUGAUAUAGAAUUUCUGGAUAGCAUAAAGGGAUACUUGAAUAAAAGUUUUUCAAUGAAAGAUCUAGGUGAAGCUGCUUACAUAUUGGGCAUCAAGAUCUAUAGAGAUAGAUCGAGACGCUUAAUAGGACUUUCACAAAGCACAUACCUUGAUAAAAUUUUGAAAAAGUUCAAAAUGGAUCAGGCAAAGAAAGGGUUCUUGCCCGUGCUUCAAGGUGUGAAGUUGAGUCAAACUCAAUGCCCGACCACAGCAGAAGAUAGAGAGAAAAUGAAAGAUGUUCCCAAUGUUUCAGCCAUAGGCUCUAUCAUGUAUGCAAUGCUGUGUACCAGACCUGACGUAUGCUUAGCAAUAAGUUUGGCAGGGAGGUACCAAAGUAAUCCAGGAGUGGAUCACUGGACAGCGGCCAAGAACAUCCUGAAAUACCUGAAAAGGACUAAGGAUAUGUUUCUCGUAUAUGGAGGUGACAAAGAGCUAGUCGUAAAUGGUUACGUCGAUGCAAGCUUUGACACUGAUCCGGACGAUUCUAAAUCGCAAACCGGAUACGUGUUUUUAUUAAACGGUGGAGCUGUAAGUUGGUGCAGUUCUAAACAAAGCGUCGUGGCGGGAUCUACAUGUGAAGCUGAGUACAUAGCUACUUCGGAAGCAGCAAAUGAAGGAGUCUGGAUGAAGGAGUUCAUUACUGAUCUAGGUGUAAUACCUAGUGCAUCGGGACCAAUGAAGAUCUUCUGUGACAAUACUGGUGCAAUUGCUUUGGCAAAGGAAUCCAGAUUUCACAAGAGGACCAAGCACAUUAAGAGACGCUUCAAUUCCAUCCGGGACCAUGUCCAAGUGGGAGACAUAGAAAUUUGCAAGAUACAUACGGAUCUGAAUGUUGCAGACCCAUUGACUAAGCCUCUCUCACGAGCAAAACAUGAUCAACACCAAGACUCCAUGGGUGUUAGAAUCAUUACUAUGUAAUCUAGAUUAUUGACUCUAGUGCAAGUGGGAGACUGAAGGAAAUAUGCCCUAGAGGCAAUAAUAAAGUUAUUAUUUAUUUCCUCAUAUCAUGAUAAAUGUUUAUUAUUCAUGCUAGAAUUGUAUUAACCGGAAACAUGAUACAUGUGUGAAUACAUAGACAAACAUAUAGUCACUAGUAUGCCUCUACUUGACUAGCUCAUUAAUCAAAGAUGGUUAUGUUUCCUAACCAUAGACAUGUGUUGUCAUUUGAUUAAUGGGAUCACAUCACUAGGAGAAUGAUGUGAUUGACAUGACCCAUUCCGUUAGCCUAGCACUUGAUCGUUUAGUAUAUUGCUAUUGCUUUCUUCAUGACUUAUACAUGUUCCUGUAACUAUGAGAUUAUGCAACUCCCGUUUACCGGAGGAACACUUUGGGUACUACCAAAUGUCACAACGUAACUGGGUGAUUAUAAAGGAGUACUACAGGUGUCUCCGAAGGUACAUGUUGAGUUGGUGUAUUUCGAGAUUAGGUUUUGUCACUCCGAUUGUCGGAGAGGUAUCUCUGGGCCCUCUCGGUAAUGCACAUCACUAUAAGCCUUGCAAGCAAUGUGAUCAAUGAGUUGGUUAUGGGAUGAUGCAUUAUGUAACGAGUAAAGAGACUUGCCGGUAAUGAGAUUGAACUAGGUAUUGGAUACCGACGAUCAAAUCUCGGGCAAGUAACAUACCGAUGACAAAGGGAACAACGUAUGUUGUUAUGCGGUUUGACCGAUAAAGAUCUUCGUAGAAUAUGUAGGAACCAAUAUGGGCAUCCAGGUUCCGUUAUUGGUUAUUGACCGAGAAUAGUUCUAGGUCAUGUCUACAUAGUUCUCGAACCCGUAGGGUCCGCACGCUUAACGUUAUGAUGAUAGUUUUAUUAUGAGUUUAUAAGUUUUGAUGUACCGAAGUUUGUUCGGAGUCCCGGAUGUGAUCACGGACAUGACGAGGAGUCUCGAAAUGGUCGAGACAUAAAGAUUGAUAUAUUGGACGACUAUAUUCGGACACCGGAAGUGUUCCGGACGUUGUCGGAGAAAACCGGAGUGCCGGAGGGUUACCGGAACCCCCCGGGGAGAGAUAAUGGGCCACAUGGGCCUUGGUGGAAAGAGAGAGGGGCGGCUAGGGUGGGCCGCACGCCCCCUCUCCCUCUGGUCCGAAUUGGACUAGGAGGGGGGGGCCUCUUUCCUUCCCCCCUCUUCCCCUUCCUUCCCCCUCCUAGUAGGAGUAGGAAAGGGGGAGUCCUACUCCUACUAGGAGGAGGACUCCUCCUUGGCGCACCCACAAGGGCCGGCUGGCCUCCCCCCUCCCUCCUUUAUAUACGGGGCAGGGGGCACCCCAGGACACACAAGUUGAUCUACGGAUCGUUCCUUAGCCGUGUGCGGUGCCCCCCUCCACCAUAUUCCACCUCGAUCAUAUUGUCGCGGAGUUUAGGCGAAGCCCUGCGCCGGUACAACAUCAUCAUCGUCACCACGCCAUCGUGCUGACGGAACUCAUCCCCGAAGCUUUGCUGGAUCGGAGCCCGGGGAUCAUCAUCGAGCUGAACGUGUGCUGAACUCGGAGGUGCCGUACGUUCGGUGCUUGGAUCGGUCGGAUCGUGAAGACGUACGACUACAUCAACCGUGUUGUCAUAACGCUUCCGCUUACGGUCUACGAGGGUACGUGGACAACACUCUCCCCUCUCGUUGCUAUGUCAUCACCAUGAUCUUGCGUGUACGUAGGAAUUUUUUUGAAAUUACUACGUUCCCCAACAUCUUGACGGCGGUCAACUUGCGGAUGGAGUUGACCAUCAUGUCGUCCAUGCGAGAGGCGAAGCCGGCGUCGGCGAAGGCUACGAUGCCUGCGGUCGCCAGCACCAUCUGGAAACACUGCGCGGUGCGGGGCCGCAGGCCGGCGCCUUGGAUGAUUUGGCACAGCCGACUGCCGCUCGCGUCCAUCGCCUCCAUAGGUGCUUGUGGCUUUUGGUCACUUGGUCUUGGAUUGGAGUGAGCAGUGUUGCGCAGAGACUUGGGAGUAGAAGGAUUGGAGUGGUGGGGCGCCUUUAUUAUAUGAGAGUCCAAACUCUGUUGCAUUCACAUCGUGCUGGCUCUAGUCUGCUUCUCCAAUUAAUUCCCUCUGCAUUUAAUUGAGGAUGCAUCAUUGACCGUUCAACGUCUCAGGAACUGCUACCCUCUUCCUCCUUGGUAUUCUAGCACCUAUGGACCCGUCGACGACGAGGUGCCUAUGGUGACUUCGUAAAUUUCAAGAUGAUACUUAGUGUCGUGCGUGUGUGCGUUCAUAGGGGUGAGUGUAUGCGCGUGUAUAUGAGCGCUUGCGUCUGUACUGUGUCAAAAAAAACAACGUAAAUGCGUGUCAAAAAGAGACUAGUCAGUAUACUCAAUAUUGUGCACCUCAGAGAGGAAAACGAUAGAACUAGUACGUAUUUAUUUACGGGGCAGAUUCACUCAUUUUGCUCCAUAUGUACUCCAUCUCGGUGUAGUCUAGUCACUUGUUGAAAUCUCUAGAAGGGCAAAUACUCCUUUCUGGUUUACAGGGCUAUACUAGCAAGUAGUUGUACGUACUAAUACAAUAGUGGGCUCACAUAGCAAUUUUGUCUCAUGCAAGAGCCUGACUAUAUGUGUGCUCCAAUGUUCGCAACUGCAACGUUCGGUUUGCGCUUGGCUCUUCGCCUCUUCGAGAAGAUGAACAAUGAUGUUACUACUACUGCUUCUACAGUGUCGAAUCCACUGCUGCAUGUCCGUCCACCGCGAGCGGGACGGAUAGCUUGUUGUAGAAGUACUACUAAGCAAAAGCCUGUCCUCGUUUGCGAGCAAUAACGCGCAUGGGCGAGGGAGAAGGCGUGUAGUAAAAUCAAGCUUCUCCUCGUUCUACGAGUUGACGCGGAACAUCAUAGCACUGGCCCCACAUGCUUGCCUCUAAACUUGGCUGAAAGACCCGCAGUGUACAAUAUAUUUGCUGCAACCUCUAACAUUUACCCACCACAAAUUAAAAAAUAUGUGGCCGUAGGCAUCGUUCUGAUGCAGAGGCCGGGGAGUCCCCCCUUAAAAAAACAAAUUAAAAUAUAUAUAUUCCUGUCUUGACCAGAUGAGCGUGCAAACUACAAUCACCAAGGUGACAGGUAGGGCCAUAAGACUAUUUUAAUUUAAAAAAAACUUCGAGACGGCCACAUAGCAUGGAGCCGACCCCAACGAUUUUAAGCUUACAGGCACGGUACACACUAUCUAGACUACUCUACACAUGAAACUGCCAUGCGAGCAUCCGGGCUGCGCUUGGCUCUUCGCCUCUUUGGGAAGUCGAACAAUGAUGGUGUACUACUGCACUGGAGGAGUACUACAGUACGCUUCUGACCAUCUGACACCGAUUGAACUGCUGCAUGUCCACCGCGUGCGGGAGGGAGAGCAUGUAGAGAAAGCUUCUCCUAGUCUUGCCGGCCACCACGCUCAUGGGCGAGGGAGGGACGCUCCAGUCUUUGCGUGUAUGACAGGUGGGCCCGACAGGUGUGUGGCCAACCUGUCAUACAGCCAAAGGCAGGUGCAGUUAAGUCCGCAAGGGAGAGGAUAAUCAAACUUCUCGUUGAUGUACGAGUUGACGCGACGCAUCAAAGCACUGCACUCGAUAUAUUUCAAUAAUUUAGGGUUACCGAUGCAUUAAUUACAACGCAUGCAUGCAUCCCGUGACUCUCCUUUUGAUACUUGCAUGUGUUGAUUUAAUGCACCUUGAAGUAGUACCCCCUCCGAUUCCUUUUACUUUGCGUAUAACUUUUUCUUGUUUUUCUCAGAUUAGUCUUCGCGUCCGUGUUGGUUUCCAUCUAUGCCCCCGCUCGAUUAGUUCUGCCCCCAUUAAUCGCGCCAGUUUCCAAAGCAGAAAAUGGCUACAGGCAAACGCGUGCAGCACCGGAUGUGGCUUGACCACCUGGGGAAGCCAACUCAAGCGAAAAGGAAGGAGGACCAUCCAACCAUUGCAUGCGCAUUUACUAUCGAUAUUUAUGCAGCUUACUCAUGCGCAGGGGCAAAUUUGUCCAGAAAACUCAAACUACUGCCUUCCUUGGUAUGCGGGAGGACAGUUAUGCGCAGAGUAUAAAAUAUGUGACGGUAAAGCUUUGUAAUGCCCUGACCCAAGCGAGAGAUGGUUGUGCACGAGGAGGGCGAGAUCAUGUAGACGGAACAUGAACCGACAAGGGAGCUCACUAAGGUCUCGAUGGACCUCACCGUGCUCCACUGCCCCUUGUGCCUCCGCCCCUUGACGCCUCCAGUGUAUGAGGUUCGAAUACACCUCGUCCAUUCGGCUGAUUGAGCAAGGUGCAGGUUUCUUGAUUGAUGUGCUAUUUGAUUGAUUUCUGCAGUGCAAGGCAGGGCACCUGGCCUACGCGGACUGCCGCGUCGAGUGCCCCGGGAACCAGCGGCAGUGCCAGAAGUGUGAGCGCGGCGGUGUCUUCGACGUGCGGAACACGGCGGUGGACGCCGUCGUUUCGUCCUUGAGGGUGGAGUGCCCGCACGAAGGCUAUGGGCUCUACGUCACUUACCACAAGCUCAGCGAUCACCAGAGCGUGUGUCUGCUCGCGCCCUGCAAAUGCCCCGUGCCCGUCUGCGGCUAUGAAGGCCCGCCGCCGGCGCUCUACCACCACAUCAGCAACGCGCAUCCCAUGCCCGUGCACAGGAUCCAGUACGACAAGGUGCUCCAGCUACAAGUGCCACUGUUGGAGCCACGGCUCUUGCUGUUCGCGGAGGAGGACCGCUGCAUGUUUUUCUUGGUCGGUGGCGUGCUCGACAUCAGCACGCCUAUCGCCGUGUCGGUCGUCUGCAUCAGAGCGGGGGCGUCCCUACUGCCACACUACCGGGCUAAGCUGUGGGCGAACGACCUGCCGGGGGAGCCCAAAGGCACGACCAACACCGUCGGGGUGGAAAUGAAGGUGACAAGCGGCAAGAAUCCCGACGACGUCGACGUGUAGGAGCUGACCUUCUUGAUAGUUCCGCCCAAGCUGCUGGCCGGGGCUAAGCUUGUGUCCCUCCACAUUCAGAUUGACAAGCUCACGUCCUAAAUGUUUUGAUAGUGCCUUCUGUUUAUCUUAGUAAUAUGCUAAGAUAGGGAUUACCUUGGUCUACUUUAGCUUAAGAAAUGGUGGGUUUUGGUGGCGAUGCAGCAAUUACUUCGACAUCAGAUCAGUAAUUUCCAACAGUCUCUGUUGGAUAUAAAGUUCCUUUGGGUAAGAAGUACUACUUGUCAUCAAAAUGGAUAAAAGGAUAUGUAUGUAGACGUAUUUUAGUUCUAGAUACGUCCCUUUUUAUCCAUUUUAAUGACAAGCACUCCCUCCGUUCCACAAUACAUGCCUUCCAUUUGUCAAAAUAUAGAUGUAUCUAGACAUGUUUUAGUAUUUAGGUACAUCCAUGAUAGAGCCAAUCGGAUGGUUGAGAACACUACAAUUCAUAGCUACAGAUGCGUGUGUGACUCCCAGAUGCAGAGGCCGGGGGUCAUCAUCCUCCUUUUCGAGAAAAAACAGACGCGUGUGUGAGAGUACGAGUACGUGCGUGCACCUCUUCUCUUCCUGUAUAACAUACUACUAAACUCAGAGUACAAGUUUUUGUGGGUGGCACGAUGGUGCGUGCGAGAAGUCCCGAGAGAUAGGUUUAAUGCGUCUGAAAAAAGGACUAGCCUAGAGCUCGCCACGCGGGUAUUUAUAAAUUUUGAGCUUGCGUCUCGUCACAUUCCAAAUUACUCCAUGCUAUAUUGCAGACCUGUUCACACCGAUCACAACCUAAAUGGUUUCCCACUUAGGAGUGUAUUAGUACCACGCUAUAUUGAAUUCCAAACCUGUUCACAGCCAUCACAACCUAAACGGUUUCCCACUUAGGAGCGUAUUAGUACUCGGUUAUAAAUACUAGUAUGCGAAGAUGACUGCACAUUCCUCCUCAACUCCUCAUCCACAAAAACAAACAAGUCAUUCAGCAUCCUUCCCUUGCGUCUGCCAUGGCCAGCGUGAGUUCUGGGUCGGGGGAUUGCCAGCAGGAAGAGGCGAGCAUGGAAGCGGAAUCACGAGAGAUGUCCCGCCUCGCUACGAGAGCAGCCAACAUGUCCCACCGCACGGAAGUAGCAGCACAGAGGUCCCGCCGCGCUGCUGAAGCAGCACGGAGGUCCCGCCGCACCGUCGAUGCAGAAGACUGGUCUGGCCACGCCGCGGAAGCAGUAGAGAUGUCCCGCCGCGCCACGAAUGUAGCAGAGAUGUCCCGCCGCGCCACGGCGGCCUGGGAAAAUUUCUCGCGGGCAGGCGACGACUAUUACAGGAGCAUGCAUGCGAUCGUCCAUAGCUAGAUGGAUCAGAUCUCCGGCUUGGCGAGGUUGCAGGACGACGUGAAAGCCUCGUUUGAAUAGGCUACCGGCGUCAUCUGGCAACUAAGGGAGGGCAAUGAGAGGCUCCGGGCCAAGCGCGACCUGUUGAGGGAGAAGAUCGUCCGAAGUGCAGACCAGCAGGCGGAGACCAGUGCCUUGUUGAAGAGGACCGACGUCAUCGUCAAGAAACUUAUGGACGAGAAUGACAUGCUCCACAACGAGCGCCAAAGGUUGGUGGAGGAAUCUGUGGAUGUUCUCAAGCAGCGUCUUGAGGACACGAAAGAGCUCAUCGCCGCUCGCCACGGAGACUAGUUCCCGCGGCCUGCAGCAACGCAUCAAGAAAGUAGAGAUCAGCGAGCCAGAUCCUUGUCUUCCUUCUUGUUUUGCCCUUGUGUAUUUCGGGCGUAGCCGCAUGUGGCUUUUUUAAUUAUCUUUCUAAUUAUGUAAGACAAUUAAUCGUCCUUAUCUUUCUGUGGAAGAUUAAUGUUGCGAGGCUGGAAUGAAGAAAACUCUUGCUGUGGUGACCCUGGCGUUGCUGUUCUUCUAGUUGUUGCUGGGCUUCCUUCAGUUUCCUGGUUUCUUUUGAUGUAAUAAUCGGUUUAGGAUGUGGAUUGUGUCGUCGGUUGUGAAAUUUUGGGUUCUAGCGCGGAUGUUUGGCCUUUGUUGGCCUCUUGGGAUGUUGCGAUUUCAAUCUGGUACUCCCUCCGUCUCAUAAUGUAAGACGUUUUUUGACACUAUACUAGUGUCAAAAAGCGUCUUAUAUUAUGGGACGGAGGGAGUAGCUUUUAUUCCUUCGUGUUAGGCUGGAGUUGUGCUGAACUUCUUGUGAAUUGUGGUGGUUUUCAGUAAUGAAAAUCGAAAGGGGCAAGCCCUUCUUUGAUCAAAAAAAUCGUCCUUAUAUAUUCAUCAGUCUUGCUAUAAGUCGCAGUAGAUGCUAUAUAGGUCCGUCGGAUCUUACAUCAAGAUCCGUGCUUUUAGAUUUUCCUUUUUCUCUCUUAAAUCUCAGUCGAGUGAGACAUAGCCACGCCAUUAAACAGAGGCUCGGGCACCAUUAAUGGAGACCUUGGGAGAGAGGUGGACGGCAGACGGAGGUCAAAGGGCUCUCCUCCCGAUAAGCACGCGUAGGGGUCUGAUCGCACGCCUCUCGUACUCAAAUAGCUAUCCCACACGGCGCCUCCUAGCUAAUAAAAAAUGGGGACGCGUGGCGGCACGUAAAUGGUACUAGUAAGUAGAACGCCCACGGUUUCAAUAAUACUUGUGUUUCCGAUUGUAACAUGACAACACUUGUUCCAAAAUGAUUUUGUUGAUUGUUAAUGUGUGCGCCUUCACAAAUCGGACUGCAAAUUUACCACAGCAUGUUGGUGCCAUGUCAUGGCACCAAGCCAAGUUUCAUUAUUUUCAUGCGUGUUUUGGAUUUACAGGAAUUAAAAAACUAAGUUUCUCAGUGUUUCCAACCCAGCCACGAUGCCCAGAAUUUUGAAUUUCAUUCCCAUUUCUUGCAUGGAACCUAGAAAUUUACCCGAGGACACACAUGUGAUUUUUCAACCAACUUUGGUGCACUGGAACAUGUGCUUGUAUUUCAAAUUUGAAUUAUGCACACAAAGGUGACACGUUCCCUCCCAGAACCACGAGCCUUCUUGGGAGAAGCUUUGAUUUGCAAGAGGCUUAUACCAAAAUUUGUUCCUAUUCGACUAAUUUUUUUUACCACGGAAUGGUACUACCAUGACAUGACACCAUGCCAAGUUUCAUGAUUUUAAAACCAAGUUUCUCAAUGUUCUCGACCGAGCCACGAUGCCCAGAUGUUUGAAUCUUAUUCUCAUUUUUUGCAUGGGAGUAGAAAUUCACCCGAGGACACAAAUGUGAUUUUUCAACCAACUUUGGUGCACGGGAGCACGUGCUUGUAGUUCAAAUUUGAAUUAUGCACAUUAAAUGACCAAAAACUCAAUUAAUGUGUAAAUAUGGCCAAACGAAGCCGGAAUAAUUCCAAAAUUUAACACGGCACUCAUGUAGUUCUAUGUUGCCUUUGUAAAUAAACUCAUGGGGGACAACAUAUAUCGUUUCGCACUCAAAGGGACAUGUUCCCUCUCAGAACCACGAGCCUUCUCGAGAGAAGCUUCGGUUUGCAAGAAGCUUAUACCAAAAUCUGUUCCUAUUCAGCCAUUUUUUACCACAACAUGGUAGUACCAUGUCAUGACAUCCAUGCCAAGUUUCAUGAUUUUCAGCCGUGUUUUGGAUUUACAAGAAUUUUAAAACCAAGUUUCUGAAUGUUCUCGACCGAGCCACGAUGCCCAGAUGUUUUAAUUUUAUUCUCAUUUCUUGCAUGGGACCUCAAAAUUCACCCGAGGACACAAAUGUGAUUUUUCAACCAACUUUGGUGCACGAGAGCAUGUGCUUGUAGUUCAAAUUUGACUUAUGCACAUUAAAUGACCAAAGGUGACACGUUCCCUCUUAGAACCACGAGCUUCCAAAUCGGCCCAAUUUUUUACCACAACAUGUUAGUGCCAUGACAUGACACCAUGCCAAGUUUCAUGAUUUCCAGCCGAGUUUUGGAUUUACAUGAAUUUAAAAUCUAAGUUUCUCGAUGUUCUUGGCAGAGUCAUGACGCCCAGACGUUUGAAUUUCAUUCUCAUUUCUUCCAUGGGACCAAGAAAUUCAACCAAGGACACACAUGUGAUUUUUCAACCCACUUUGGUGCACCGGAGCAUGUGCAUGCAAUUCAUAUUUAGAUUAUGCACAUUAAAAGUCCAAAAACUUAAUUAAUCUAUAAAAAGGCCAAAUGAACCCGAAAUAAUUUCAAAAUUUAACAUGGCACUCAUAUAGUUCUAUGUUGCCUCUGUAAAUAAAAUCAGGGGGGAGGCAGCGUAUAUCGUUUCGCACACAAAGGUGACACAUCCCCUCUCGGAACCACGCGGCUUGUUGAGAGAAUCUCCGGUUUUGCAAGAGGCUUAUACCAAAACUUGUCCCAAUUCAGCCAAAAAUUAUACGUAUGAAAACAGGGUUUAGAUUAUCCCGAACAUCUCGCUACCUAGACCAAUAAUGUACUAUGAUUUGAAUUCAACAUAAAAUGGAUACAGAUAUUUGAAUUGGAGAGCAUAUGGUACAUGUAGUUCAUAGUGAAAUAUGAUUACUGCUAUAUGCAUGUCUUUUAGUUAUCAAGAUAAUAUUUAAAUUAUUGUAUAACUUGACAACAAUCAUAUUCAAAUAAGGAAAAUUGAUUCAAAUUUAGUCCAUAUGGUAGACGACAAUAUAUAUGUUCACAUGGUGGAGUAAAAUGUUCAUAUAUGAUGGAAGAUCAAAAUGUACGACUACAUCAAUUAUAAACCGCAAGGUCACCUAAUGAUAUAUUCGAAUUCAACAUAACGUGGAUUCGAAAAUUGAAAUUCGAUAUCAUGGCAUCUGUAAUCAUAUAAAAAGGGACAUUACUCUUUCUUUGGUGGGAAUUGUUUUGUUUUUUGUUGUUGUUGAGGGAAGUGCGAAUCGAUUUGGUACUGUGCAGGGUAAUCUUGUUCUCCCGAUUUUUUUACAUUUUUCUUGUAGUUUUUUCAAUGGCAUCUAUAGCAAUAUAGUAAAAGGGGACAUGACUCUCUUGUGUCUUGUAUGAUUUUUUUACACGUUAAGUUUGUUCUGCCGAACAAGGAAUCCGCACCUUGUUAUCCCGAAAUUUUCAAGCUGAAGUAUCUUUUGUCUCACCUGCUUUGAAACUCCUGCUUCUUCAACCCGCUCCACGCCUUGUUAUCUCGAAAUUUGGACGCGCGCGAGAACUCCCUCCUCAUCCGAAAUCGCUCCCGCAGCCCAGACACGAGAAAUCCCCCUUCUACCCCUCAGCCGGAAAUGAAGCUCCAUGUCGCGGUGUCAAAACUGGUGGGGGUACGCUGGUAACUUACCCUACAUUUCGGACAAGCGCGUCCCUAAGCUUGGCUCCCCCCUCCCCCUUCGCCCCCCUUCGUACACCGAGGCCGCCAAAACCGCCAAAACCCGCGAAACCCCACGCUCCUCCAUCGGCCUCGCGACCGCCGCCCAGCCGGUGACUCUUCUAUGACUACGUCGUCCACUGCAACAGCUCGCCGUCCCUCAUCCACCGCACCGGAUGAGUAUCCGUUGUCGAUCUCAUCGUCCCACCGGAUCAGCCGCCCCGUCCUCCACCUCCAAGGAGUUGCCCCGAUGUUCGCCACCUCUAUCGCGCCACCUCAAUCCCCACAGUGCCGUCUUGACCUGCCCCACCGGAACCACAACACCCUCACCAAUUCCUCCGAUGAAGCCGAGGCCAACUCGGUGCCACCAAGGAGGUUCUGCACUCACUGCUGCAUUUUAUCUUUUAUUCGAUCUCACGGGGCUGCCAGUGCUCGAUACCGAGCAGACAUGGCGUCUCCAUCGAUGGCGUCGUCGCCGGCCACAUCAUCCACGGUGUCUCUCCCCCAUGUCGUUGCUUCCUCGGUGGCGACUUCCACAACGGCACUAGCUGCAGCUGCUCCGGCUCUCGCUCGCGCUGCGGUUCUGUUCUUGCUAACAGUCGCGCUGCUGCACUGCUCCUGCUUUCGUUCGUGCUGCUGCUCUGCUCUUGCUCUCGCUUGCGCUGCUGCUGCUGCACGACCUCCGGCAGCUACAGGAGUUGCUUCUUUAGCACUCGCUCGCGGUGCUACUGCACGACUUGCUCUCUGCUAGUGCGUUUCCUGCUCGAGCGUCUGCUGAUUUAGAUCACUGCUUCUCUGCUACUAGUGCUCGAACGCCCUAAACAUCUAUUGCAAUGCUCUGUUACUAGUUCAAUCAGUUUCGACAGUAAAAUUCAGUUUCGACUGUGAAGUUCAUUUUCUUCAGUUAAGUUCAGAGUGAACAGUACUUACAACAUCUGUCGGAGCGGCUGUGGCGCGGCUGAUGCGCUUUACAUCUAGCACUUUUUGGUGAUGUAUUUUACAUCAUCUAUUGCAGAUUAUAUUAGGGUCCCACUUUAGAUUAAAGUUGUCUAUCUUGUCAUGCUUCAGCCUCGUCGCCGUACACCUUAGCGGAGCUGCUCGAACAACGGAACCGUCCAUCACAGCGGAGCAGUACCCUCGGCGCCGUUUCCAGAGGCCUCGGAUCUUCUUCCCCGCCUCCGACAGUCACACCAGCAUCAUCACCAUCCUCCACGUCCAACCCAAUGAUGCUGAGGUCCACAAGGCUAUGCCAAAGAGGUUGUACAGUCAUCACAUCACUUUGUUUCUCCAUUCCUCUGUUCUUCCAAUUCAUGUGAGCCAAACACCCAGGUUGACUGAAAUCCUAUGUUUCCAAAUGCUCUGUUUUGCACGUGCAUUCCUAUCCUAUUCCUGUGUUUUUCCUGUCCCUGCGUUUAUAGAAUCCUCCAAUUCUAAGGAGCGCUUACAGAUUUACUUCAUUUUCAGAUUGGCGUCAAAGAAAACUAUGUGUGUUAUGUCCUGCUCCUGCCGUGCCGUCAUCCACCCCACCUGAGGUGCACCAUCGACAGAAGUGUUCACUGCAGCAGAGAUCCCCCCUGCAGACUUUCUUUCACCGCCUCAGAUCAUCUUCCCCGUUGCCGGCAGCCACGCCAACUGCAUUACCAUCAUCGACUGAGCAGAUGAACCUGAGGACUACACAGCUCCGGAAGAGAGGUCGCAGUCUUUCGUGUUUGCUUACGUUAUACAUCGGUUAUUAUUACCUGCUACAUUAUCGUUCAAUCUUGAGUUUUGAAUUGCCCAUGGGUCUCAUAUGGAGCCAGCAACAAAUAGUAUCCGUCUACUAUCUGGUUCAUCUGGGGUCUUCUAUGUGGUUCAUGUUGGGUGGGCAACAAACAAUAGAUGAUCCAUUGUCUAUCUUUUUAAACUGAAGCUAUAAUCUACCUGCUAUCAUUAGUUUUGGAUCCAUCCACUCGUUUGCUACCAUCAGUCUUGAUUUUUGCAUGCACCCCUUAGGCCUUACAAAAUCUAACUAUUUUUUUAUUAUGCAUGUCAGAUAUUGUACACAAUCGUACUGAACAUGUAGAGAAAAAGAGAAGACCGUUGCGUGCGAAUAUAAUGUCAUGCAGACGCUGCUCCAUGGUGGGUGAAGUGCCCCCCCCCCUCUCCUGCAUUUCCAGAUUGUAUUCCAGAGGAAGAUAACUGUUUAGAUGGAGAUUCAGAAGGAGCCGGCCAUGCCUGCUUACCACCUGAGGUGUUUGGUCUAACCUGGCAUGCUGAUGUUGGUCAUAUCAUGCAUAUGGCGCCUUGCAUUGCUUACAUUAUACAUCUUAUAUGUCAUCAACUUAGUUUAGAUUUGCUUUGUGUGAAUGCCACCUAUUUGGUUUCUAUAUCAUACUCCCACCAUUCCUAAAUAUUUGUCUUUUUAGAGAUUUCAACAAGUGACUACAUACGGAACAAAAUGAGUGAAUCUACACUCUAAAAUAUGUCUAUAUACAUCCGUAUGUGGUAGUCCAUUUGAAAUCUCUAAAAAGACAAAUAUUUAGGAACGGAGGGAGAAUAUGGGAAUUAUGCAAUGCCAUCUUCUUUAGCCAGGCAUCAUAUACGUGAAUCAUGCAAUGCCAUCCUGUUUAGCCAGUCAUCGUAUAUGUGAAUUGUAUCGUGCCGUAUUUUUUUCCCAUAAUGUAUUCCAUUUGUCAACAAUGUUUAUACAUUCAUCCACUCUUCCUGUGCAUCAGCCAUUUGAGUCGGUCAUGGGAAAAUCUGGAGUGAAAACAAGGUCUUCUGAGCAGUCAGUGCUACCUGUCGAUGCAGAUUUCUUGCUGGUUACAGAUAGCUCCUCAGAGGAGGAUUCAGAGAGAGAUGACCAGUCGUAUCCCCCCCCCCCCCGAGGUGCAUGCUCUAACUUGGCUGGGUUAUAUUUCUCAUAUCAUGCAUAUGGUGUCUUGCAUUGACAUGCCAUCUGCUUAGAUUAGACAUGCUUUGUGUGAAUGCCUCCUGUUUGCUUUCUAUAUCAGAUAUGUGGAUUAUGCAAUGCCAUGUUUUCCAGCCAGUUAUCAUAUAUGUGAAUUAUGCACCGCCAUGGAGCCAGACAUCAUAUAUGUGAAUUAUCUCAUGCCAUCUUUUUUUUCAUUACGUAUUCCAUUUAUCGACAAUCUGUGUAUAUUGAACUACUCUUCAUGUGUAUCAUCCAUUUGAGUCGGUUAUGGAAAAAUCUGGAGCGAAAACAAGGUCUUCAGAGCAGGCAAUGGUACCUGUUGAAGCAUAUAUCUUGAUGGUUACAGGGAGCUCCUCUGAGGAGGAUUCAGAGACAGAUGACCAGUCCUAUAUCCCACCUGAGGUGUAUGCUCUAAGUUGCAAUGUUUAUAUUUCUCAUAUGAUGCAUAUGGUGUCUUGCAUUGAUUAGUUUAGACAUCAUAUGCACAAUAUUGAAUUCUAUCUGCUUAGUUUAGAGAUCAUACAUGCGAGUGCCAGCUGCUUAGUAUAUGAAUCAAUUAUGUAAAUUAUAUCAUGCCAUCCUGUAUACUUAGACAACAUGUAUGUGAAUUAUUUCAUUACAACCUAUUUUAGAAAGACAUCAUAUAGUUUUGUCAUGUCAUCCUGUUUAGGUACUCAUCAUAUGUUGAAUUAUGCCAUUAUAUCCUAUUAACUUAUCCAUCAUAUAUCUGAAACUGUGUCAUGCUAUCCUGUUUAGUUACGCAUCAUAUAUGUAAAAUUGUGUCAUGCUGUCCUGUUUGGUUAGACAACAUAUAUGUGAAUUACCACAUCUGUCUAUCAUACAAUAUCUGUACGUUCAAUUUCUUUUCUUGUUUAUUAGCCAUUUGAAUUGGAGGGGGUGAUGGCAGUAUCUAAGGGAGCAAAAACCCGUUCUUCACAAAAGACAGUGCUACCCGUCGAUGCAGAUAGAACCAUGGUUGUACUGGCCCACAAACUAGCCCCACCACACAUAAUCAAGACUCUUCCAGAUUGCACACUUACACCGUUGGGCAGAGAACCAGCUACAACCCAUCUAACCGCAACCCCAGUGGAUAGUAACCCACUUAUAGUUGACAAUGCACCAUGUCCACCACAGAGUACCCCCACACGAGCAGUUUGUAAAGCUACUGCAGUGCCAAAAAGCAUGAAGACCACCACAGCUAACCCAAACUCCACGUUUAAAGCAGAAGAGCAACUGUUCUCAGGUCAGAUUCCGUAGCUAUGGCCCAUACUCCUUUGUUGUUGCAUCACUGUAUUUACUCAUACCAACUACUUUCGAAUUUGAAGGAUCCAAUUGAAACUCCAAUGGCGCAACAGGUGUGUUUUAAACCUAUUUCUUUAACUGGAUUGCUGUUCUAACUUCUUGCUCUAUGUUGUUUUCAGUUUAAGUUGUAUAAACAAUUAUGUUCUCAUGUGAUGCACAUUCCAAGUGCUGCCAAUGCUGUGUAGUUUCUCACACUUAUAUUAUGUCUAUGCUGUUGUGUCUUAAAAAUAUAUGAGUUGAACUGUGUCUCCAUCUUGAUUAGGGAACAUAAACUAGAAUGAUAUGGAAAAUACAGUGACCAUAGUACAUAGAUAUAUGUUUGUUUCAUGCUGUUAUCCUGUCCACCUUACUACUGAACCGGUUUACCAAAAUGAGUUUGGUAUACUACAAGCUAAACAUGUGAUGUGUCUGCUUGUUUCUCUUGUAGUAUGCAAAUAGAAUACUGGAGAAGAGCACCCCACUAUGCAAUGGUAGAGAAAGUAAUGCAGAUAAGGUUCAAGAUAGUGAGACAACCCUAUUGGUCUCCAAGAAAGGUGAUAAAAACGAUAUUGUAGAUAGUGAGAAAACCCCACAGUCCUGCAUUGAUGUAGUGUUCGAGUUACUGGCCAGUACCGCUGGCACAAGCUCUUCGAACUCGCUGCCUGAAUCACUUGGGCUUCUAAAGUCUCAGCUACAAGCUGAAAGGCAUCAGUCAGCUGUGCUGCGGCAAGAAGCCGAAGGACUGAGGAAGUCCCUUCGGAAUUCAGGUGCGUACUUUCUUGUGCAAUAGCAAGCGCUGGAGGAUUUAAGCGCCAAACAAGAGAAAGUUAAUAAGCUUGCUAAGCAUCUUGUCAGCAUUAUGGGUACCUAGGAUAUUGUUUCUUGAACUCUUCUAAAGUGGUUUCAGUUCUGGACUUGUUUUGCUGCGGCGUUUAUAUGUUGUUGUGUUCCCUAUAUUUGCACUGGUGGUGAACUUUGAUGCCCAGUGGAUGUAAUAUGUGUAAUAGCCGUGAUAGCCUAGCAUAAGUUGCUUGCUUAUUUAUUUCCUUGUUGUCUUGUUUAUUUGUUUGCUUGUAGUCAAUGCACUUCUUUUUCCGCGGUUUGCUAGUGGCUGCAAUAACCUAUUUUUUAAAACUAGGCCACAAUAACCAUGGGCUAAUAUUUACUGUAGUGACACUGGGCCUCCUACGGGCCGUAGAAACAGUAGGCCUUCUACGGGCCAUAGAAACAGUAGGCCUUCUACGGGCUGUAGAACCAUUGGGCCUUCUACGGGCCGUAGAAGCAAUGUGCCUUCUACGGGCCGUAUCAUCAAUGGGCCUUAUAUGGGCCGUAUGAUCGAUUGGCCAAACAUGGGCCAAUAACAGGCCGCAUUAUGGCCGUAAACGGGCUAGAGUUGGAAUCGUCCGUUCAUGGGCCAACCAUAAUGGGCCAUCGUUAAUAGGCCGUAUUUCAUGACGCUAUGAAAACGGCCCAACGUGUUAACGGACCACAAACGGGCCGACUGUAACCACAGGCUGAAUUUGGCCCAUAAGCAGAAAAUAACAGUAACGGGCCAUAAGUAAACGAAUGCUGAAAAUGAGCCCAAGAAUAAAUGGGCUCUAAGUAGGUCGAAAGAUAACAUGGGCUGGAAACGGCCCAAUGGAAUAACGGGCCCUUAAUGGGUAUAAAGUGAUACACUGUUCAUUACGGGCCAGUUUCACCACGGGCCGUUAAUGGGUGUAAAGUAAUACAUUGUUCAUUACGGACCAGUUUCACCACGGGCCGUUAAUAGGCCAAGAGUUACAUAGGGCCUUAUAUGGGCCGAAAGACGUCAUGGGCCAUACAUGGGCCAGAAGUGAAAACGGGCUGGAAUCAUAUUGGGUGGCCCAGAUGACGCUACUGGGCCUAAUUCAGAUAGGGCGUAAUGGGCCUGGGGUUAGCGGGUUGUAAAUGGGCUAUAUGCGAACAGGCCGUUAACAGGCUUUACAUGGGCCGGCCCGCCACCUUUUGACCAAGUCAAACGGGCCGGCCUUUUCAUAGGAAUGGGCAUCUGUUGGGCUGUGCCACAUGUCGACGUAUCAUAGGCGCCUUCUGUCCAAUGAGUGGAUGACAUCUGUCCCAACGGUGAGCCGACACGUGUUUCCUCCAGCCAAUGAUGAUUUUACACGUGGAAAAUCCCCAUUGGUCGGGGCUGUUAACGGGUUAUCGGAUCCAAAACCCGACCCGAUAGCUUAACGGCGUUCCGUUACGGUGGAUGCCAUGUGUCGGUCACCCUUGACAAAAACACUUCUGUGACGCGCGAUUUAUCGUCAUGGAAGUGGACACUUUCGUGAUGAUAAUUUUGGUAAUAUCAUGGAACACUUCUACAACAACACAUGUAUGACUAUCUUGAUUCUGUCAUAAAUUCGUCAUGGAUGUACAUGCAUGACAAAAAAUGCGACCUACUGUGACAAACACGUAUCAUCACAGAAGUGUAUUUUUUUUGUAGUGCGGUAAGAUGACUAUGAUAUUCUCAUGGUUUAAGGAACUAAAUCACGUGUUAACACUCGGUGGUAUAACAAUUGACUUCUAAUGAUAUUAACGAUAUUAUCUCCAAUUAUAACAAGCAAGUUUGGGUCGAUUCAAUAUGAUCGUUCUUCUAACGUCAUAUCCUCAAAUUUGUUUUGAGACUAUCGUUACACUUAACGAUAUCUCAAGAUUGAGAAAACGUGAUCACAAAUAAAACUUGGGCUAGUCUUAUAGGUGAGACUAGGAGUCAAAUUUAACCGUUUAUCAUUCCACACAUGAAUAUAAGUUUUCCACUGAAUCGCAUAUUCCAGGAUCAUAACAGUUAUAGCAUAGAAUAUAAACUCUUAAUUAUAAACAUGAAAUUAUAAUAAUAAAAUAUUAUUGCCUCUAGGGCAUAUUUCCAACAAUUAUAAAUUUCCGAAAAUUUAACCCUGCAAAGGUGCUUUCAACUUCCCAUUAUAAGUCCUGCAUGUAUACCCUAUUCCUCCAAGUUUAGGGCCGAUGAGAACCAACACGUAAACACGAUAAAUUCCAGGAAUUCGGGAUUAACAAGUUCCUCUAGCGAAUGCCAAAUUAAUCCAGAAGACCUCCUGGUGGAUCGACAUUUGGAUCAGAGCCGAACGUAUCUUUAGACCCGAUCCCAGAUGGAUGGGCAAAGCUUUUGAUAGCCAAACCCCUAGUUUCCCCAUGGUGGCACCGACGGCUGCUCAUUGUGGACCAACGCUUUUCUUAGGUGGUGGCCCAAGUUGUUUAUUAAGAAACCUCGGAUUCAUGACUCUCUAUGCGAGUUUUAUGUUAGCAAAAUUUAGUAUCAAUAUUGGGCCUUCUAGAAGAGUUCAAUGCUAGAUAAAGGAGUUCAAGGGGGCCAUAAUAACCCUCACAUGGUAGGAUGCGCUCAUCAAGGAACAUAUAGCCAGAACAACGGAAACUAGGGUUGACCAGAGUGGAACAAAUUACCAAGGCAUAGGCCUGAGCCUUCCACCCUUAGUCAAGUAUAUAGUCAAGUUUAACAAAUUGGCAAUAUAAUAAUGAUAUCCCAAAUAUAUCCAUGUUAUCACAUUGAAAAACCUGCACGUGCAACUAACAACGCUACACGAGGGGCUGAGCAAGUGGUAGCAUAGCUAAUCAAAAGGUUUGCUAGAUAGUGGAGGUUAGAGGUUGUAUCGUGGCAAUUUGUAGGCUUAAAGGUAGCAAGACCAAACAAUAGUAUCAAGACAUCCAGCAAGCAAAGCUACUAAUGCUAUACAAGGUAAUGCUCAUUCUUACCUGUUAUCCCGCUAUGAAGAAGAUCCUUAAGCCAAACUUCGAAAGUGUUGUCUAACGAAUUCUCCCACUCCGCAUCGUCUUCGUACUCUAUUGAUAAGAAGCAAAUCCGGAAAGAGGCACAUGAUACGGUAAACAAACAUGUCAUGCAUAAAGCAAAUCAACAACAAACAUGGCAUGGCAAAGGCAAGUCAAGCAAGUACUACACACUAAGUGAAGCUUGAUAUGCAACUCGUUGCAUAUCGACGAAAGUCCACGUGUGAUUAUUAGGUUAGAUCCUAUUUAAUAUUAAAUGUUGUUUACACAGCAAAGAGGUGAAGCAUAAGUAAACUAUCCUCUCUAGUCCAUUUAAAUGAGGUAGGAAGCAAUAUAACACCUGAAAAGGCCUCAUAUGCAAUUAAUAAGUUAAUUACUGUUCUGCACUAAACAAUAUUUUUUAGUCGUUAAACAGGAAAAACAAGUGCACCACUGCAAUCUAUGCAUUUUACUGGUCCAAUUUCGGAGUUACGUUAAUUGGUUAUGAUUUGAAUCAAUUAGCAAGUUAUUUGAACAAUUUUAAUUCAAACAAGAAGUUGUUUUUUGGGGGAAAUAUACUACUGUCAUGUACGUGGGACCAAACCCACGUACGAACUGACAUCGGUGCCAUCAUGCAUUCAUGCUACAUUCCAUGACGGAACAUCCAUUCCAGCCGUUGCGGGAUGUCUCACUACCUUCGACGUCGUCGUCCAUGGUCUCGAGUUUGGGAACACUACGAAUUAAUGUUAGGGAAUUUGCAAGUGGGGAAAGACGAUUUUGCGAUUCGAGAAAGAAAGUAGUGUAACGGCAUUUUUCGAUAGUUAAUAACUACAAAGUCCUUUCUACAAAAUAACUUGUCCCCAGACCUCGCGUGACCGUUUUGCGCUAAAAACAUGUUAGGCCAACGCCCUAUGGAAGGAUAUGGCACGCUAGUGACCAAUGUUUGUUGAAAUAUAUUACCCACCUUUCUUUAUUAGUUUGGACUUUUGAAUGAAUUGGUCGGAGCAUAAAUUCAAUGUGAAAUCAGAACCAAGAGGUCUCAAGUUCAUGAGCCUGCCAACAAGUAUGGAAAAAGAUUAUGUGGCCUAUGUUGACCCCACAUCUAAGAUAGCCAAGGUGUGAGGAGGCAUGUCGAAAUAGAUUGCCCCUCUGUUCUUCAUCAGUUCAGUCUUUCGGAUGGGUUGGCUCGAGCCCGAAAUGCAGGUUUGAGGACCUGUUUUUUUGUUUGUUUUCAUAUAAGUGUGACUAAAAUGCAUCCACAUGAAGAGUUCUAUGAGUGGCACUGCCAGUGUCGUCUUACUACUAACAUUAACUUGUCCGAAUUAUAUAUGCUGCACGUCCCCAAUAUUGCUAUGUGGUUCAUCAAGCAAAGCAAGGCUGCAGUUGCAGGAAUUGCAGGAAGCUAGGAUCUGCUCCAACUCCAAGAACGCCUAUCCUACCUUCAUCAGUGUUGCGUAACAAGCAGGCCGGUGAGGCUGGCUCGGUUUAUUCCUGUUGGAGCCAGAGCGAGAUAUAGAGAGAGAGGGCGUGCAACAGCUCUUGUAUUCAUCAUCUGGUGUUACACUGGUUUAUAUAUGUACAGCUCAACUGACUCAACCGAUGCUAGGCUAAAAACUAGGCAUGCACAGAGGACACGAACACACGUUCGCUAACACCCCGCCGCAGUCGUGUCGUCGCUGCUUGGCAAGACACAAAGACUGGACCGGAAAGCCUGGAAGACCGAUGUUGGCAAACCCUUGGUCAUGAUAUCUGCGAGCUGUUGAGUCGUUGGUACAUGUACAAUGCGAAAAUCGCCGAGGGCCACCUUCUCUCUGACAAAAUGAAUGUCCAACUCGAUGUGUUUUGUCCGCCGAUGAUGAACGGGAUUGGUGGACAUAUACACGGCCGAGAUGUUGUCACAAAAGACGAUGGUAGCCUUCGGCGGUGAGCCACCGAGCUCAUGGAGAAGUUGCCGUAGCCAUACACAAUCGGCGACGGCGUUGGCGACGGCGCGGUAUUCUGCUUCCGCGCUGGAUCGUGACACGAUGGCCUGCCACUUCGAGGACCAGCUGACAAGCGUGUCACCAAGAUAAACGCAAUAGCCAGAGGUAGAGCGGCGGGUGUCGGGGCAGCCGGCCCAGUCGGCGUCGGAGUAAGCGAUGAUCUCAGUCGACCGAGAGAUCGGAAGUAGAAGACCGUGGGUGGAGGUGCCGCGAACAUAGCGUAGAAUGCGCUUGAUGAUGGCGAGAUGACUGUCCCGUGGAUCAUGCAUGUGCAAGCACGCCUGCUGGACCGCGUACGCCAGAUCAGGGCGUGUCAUAGUGAGGUAUUGCAGCCCGCCUGCGAGGCUGCGAUACUCCGAGGGAUCGUCCACGGAGCGGCCGACGUCGGCGGCAACCUUGGGCGACGUGUCAACCGGAGUGGAAGCGGGAUGGCACUGCGACAUGCCGGCGCGACGGAGAAGGUCCUCGGCGUAUUGGGUCUGGUUGAGGAAGAACCCACGCGAGGUGCGCUGCACGCGUAUGCCGAGGAAGUAGUGGAGAGCACCCAUGUCCGUCAUCGCGAACUCGUGCUGAAGCUGAUCGACAAUGGUGCGAAGCAAGACCGCCGAUGAGGCAGCAAGGACGAUGUCGUCGACGUACAGUAGAAGAUAGGCGGUGUCGCCGCCCCGCCGUAGUAUGAAUAGCGAGGCGUCGGAGCGCGAGGCGGUGAACCCAAUGGUGGCGGCGAAGGUGGCGAAGCGAUGAAACCAAGCCCGCGGAGCCUGCUUGAGGCCGUAUAGGGACUUCGAGAGGCGGCACACAUGAUCGCGGUGAGCCUCGUCGACGAAUCCAGCAGGUUGAUAGCAGUAGACCUGUUCGUCGAGGAGGCCGUGAAGGAAGGCGUUCUUCACGUCGAGCUGGUGCACCGGCCAGCCGCGUGAGCACGCCAGAGUGAGCACGGUGCGGAUCGUCGCUGGCUUUACCACCGGAGAGAAAGUCUCGCCGAAGUCGAUGCCCGGGCGUUGUGUGAAGCCGCGGACAACCCAACGAGCUUUGUACCGUUCGAGGGAUCCGUCGGCGUUCGUUUUGUGCCUGAAAACCCACUUGCCCGUGACAAUAUUAGUGUGAGGUGGGCGAGGGACAAGGGUCCACGUGGAGUUGGCGAGGAGAGCAUCGAAUUCGGAUUGCAUGGCAGAGCGCCAGUUCGGGUCGUUGAGAGCAGCUCGAACGGACGUGGGAAUUGGAGAGAUUGUGGUGGCAUGCAGAUUGGCGUAUUUUGGGUUCGGUUGGAAUAUUCCAUGGCGUGCACGCGUGAGCAUUGGGUGUGGAACAUGCGCAGGAGGCGGCUCUGGAGAGACGUGGUGCAUGGGAGUUGGUGGGGUAGGUGGGCCAGCGGGUGUAGAGUUGGGCCCGGGCAGGGACGUGGGGAAAGGAGUGGAGUGCGGAGUGGGAGGCGGGGAUUGCAUGGGUGGGCCAGGUGGCGAUCCAGGAGGGGUCGGGGUAGGCGGUGGCCAUGCAACGUCGACGUAGUCCGCGGGAGGUGGAUCACGAGCUGAUUCGGGCGAGUCUUCAGGAGAUUUUGGCAGCGUUUUAAAUGGAAAGAUAGACUCCACGAAAGUUACGUGCCUGGAGAAUAGGAUGCGCCGGGUAAUGGGGUCGUAACAACGAUAGCCUUUUCGCUCGUCCGGGUAACCAAGAAAAAUGCAAGCCGCUGAUCGAGGGGAGAGUUUGUGUGGGGCGGUAGCAAUGAGGUUGGGAUAACAGAGGCAUCCAAAAACACGGAGAUGACGAAAAUCGGGUGGGGUCCCGAAGAGAAGUUCGUAUGGUGUGGUGAGGAGAUUGGCUUUGCAGGGACGCCGAUUUAGGAGAUAGGUGGACGUGGCAAGGGCUUCGGCCCACCAACGAGGAGGCAUGGAGGCGUGUAGGAGGAGGGUCCGGACACCGUCGUUGAGGGUACGGAGUAUCCGUUCAGCCUUGCCGUUUUGUUGGGAAGUAUGGGGACAGGUGAGGCGGAAGAGCGUGCCGUGGGAGGCAAAGAGUGAGCGAUUUGCGAGAUUGUCGAAUUCACGCCCAUUGUCGGUCUGAAAGGCGAGGAUAGGACGGGAGAAUUGUGUUUGAGCGUAGGCAUAAAACUGAACAAGGAGACUAUGAACCUCAGAUUUGCGGCGUACGGGAAAGGUCCAGACAUAGUGUGUGAAAUCAUCUAGAAUGACCAAAUAAUAUUGAUAACCAGAUACACUUGAGAUCGGACUCGUCCAUAAGUCACAAUGACAAAGUUCAAAAGGAAAAGAAGUGUGAGAGGAAGAAGAACUAAAGGGAAGUCUAGUGUGUUUGCCUAGACGACAAGCCUCGCAGUGUGUCGUCGAGGUUUUAUUACAACUGAAAUCAAAAAAAGAAGAGGCUUUGGCAAGGGCGGCGGCUCUAGGAUGGCCGAGGCGCUGGUGCCACAAGUCGGCGGUGACGGCGGCGGUGAGGCAGUGGCUUGACGGGGCGAAGGUGUAGAGGUCGCCGGAGGAGUCACAUCGGAGAAGCACCGUCUUUGUGGCCAGAUCCUUGAUAGAAAAACCAUAGGGAUCAAAUUCAAUUGAAACUAAAUUGUCACGAGUGAAAGCACGAACGGAAACUAAGUUUUUGAUGAGGGAGGGAGAGAUGAGAAUUUCAAGAAGGGAGAGAGGUCGGGAGGGGGUACAGAAGGAAGUAGAGCCGACGCCGGUAAUGGGAAGAAGAGAACCAUUGCCGACGAUGAUAGAAGAAGGAGAGGAUGGGUUGGGUAGGGAGAAGGGAAUACCAGAACCGGAGCUCAUGUGGGACGAAGCGCCGCUGUCGAGGACCCAUUCGCCGCCAGGUGCAGAGGGCGGAUGCAGCGCCAUCUGAUUGAGGGCGGCGAUGAGAGCCGCCUGAUCCCAUUGUGGGGAAGGCGACGCCACCGUUGUGGCCUGGUGCGCUUGGGGCGGAGUCGGGGCAGGUGGCCGGGCACCAAGUAUCCCUUGGAAGGUGCCGGCGACAGUAGUAGGAGGACGCGGUCCAGGGAGAAGCCCAGCAGGAGCAACCCCGCCGGAAGAGGAGCCCCCAGGCCCCGCUGGGUUGGCCUUGCGCUUCUUUGGGCGGCCGCGUGCCCCGGAGGAGCCGGCCGAGCUGCCGGCGGCGUGGGGCAGAGGGCCGAGCAGGGCCGGGUUGAAGGAGGCCGGAGCGGGCGCCGGCGCCGGCGCCGGAGGUCGCGCCGCGUAGUAGGCGCUGGCCUGGGCGAUGAGUGCGGUGCGCGCGGCCACGCGCGCCUGGCGGCUGAGGCGCUGCUCCUCGAGCUGGAGGAAGGAGCGCAGCUUGAUGAAGGAGGGCCGACGUCCACUCGUCAUGUGGGGAACGGCGUGCUGGAAGCGCUCGUCGAGGCCGCGGAGGACGUUGUGGACGAGGUCGCGGUCCUUGAUGCGAUGGCCGAGGUCCCGAAGGGUGUCAGCCAUCUGCUUGAGCCGAGAAGUGUACUCAACGACGGAAAGAUCUCCUUGAAGAAAACUGUGAAAUUCAUCAAGGAGAUACGUGAUGCGCGCAUCGCGGUUGCUACGGAAGAGCGAGCGGAGCGAGCGCCAUAUGGUGUACGCUGAGUUCUUGCGCUCCUGGACGAUCUCCAAGGUUGAGGGCGUCACGGUGGCGCUAUACCACGAGAGGACGGCGAAGUCGUUGAGCGCCCAGUCGGAUGUAGCCUGCGCCGGCGAGCCGUCGACAUGAUCGGUGAGGCCGAACUUGGCGAGGGCGGAGAGAAACUGACGGCGCCAGAGGCCGUAGUUUUCUUUCUCGUAGUCGAGGGUGAUGAGAACGUGGUCCCGGAUGCGAAGGCUUUGGACCUGAAGAGUGGGCAGGGUUUGGGUGGCAACCGGGAGAUCAAACGGCUCGUCGGAGGAGGAGUCGCCGGUGGAAGAGUUGGAGGAGGAGGAGCUCAUGGCGUGGGAAGAGUGGGGCAGCGGAAGAAACGGAUCUCAGUUAAACUGAUACCAUGUUGGAGCCAGAGCGAGAUAUAGAGAGAGAGGGCGUGCAACAGCUCUUGUAUUCAUCAUCUGGUGUUACACUGGUUUAUAUAUGUACAGCUCAACUGACUCAACCGAUGCUAGGCUAAAAACUAGGCAUGCACAGAGGACACGAACACACGUUCGCUAACAAUUCCUACCUCACUUACGGGAGGAGGUCCGGGCUUUUGGGAUGGAGUCGGCUCUCUGGUGAAUGUUGGCCCAUGUACGCAUAAACGUCCAGAAUAUAAGUAGAGUGUGGGCUAAAUCAAGUCGGAUGCUGGUCCAUCGGCAUAUGUUCGGAUGUUUUCGGUGCACUAGCAUUCAGCAGAGAGCCUACUCCAUCCCAAUAGCCCGGAUCGAAAGGAGGAAGGAGUCUCUCCCUUAUAAGCUGGUCAUGGCCUCCUCCCGUAAGCAAGGUGGGACUAAACCGAGCCAGCCUCACCGGCCUACAGCAGCCCUAACAUGGGGAGACGGCAACGGUGCAGCGCUGGCCGGGAAGACCGAGCACGGGCCCUGGGGAGCGAGUAAAGGAAGGUGCAAACGGCUGCUGCGUGCGGCGCGCUUAGAAUUGGCAACAGCAAUGCCGUUAAGCUUACCAUGUUUACACCGACGUAGCCGUUGGUGUUGCCAUUUCCAGCGCUCCCUCCAUGCACGAUGCGUAUAUAAGCAUGAGCCCACAAGAUCUCCCCGAAAUCUUCCAGAGAUCCCACGAACUCGCACCAGGAUUUAGCACUAGAUCAUCAUGUCGACCACCGACGACGUGGAAAUGCAGGAAGAGGACCAGGAAGGCGUCGGCAAUAACCAGAGGAGGUGCGCGGCGUGCAAGUACCUGCGCCGGCGGUGCGCCCACGACUGCGUGCUCGCCCCCUACUUCCCGGCGUCGCACCCCCACCGCUACGCCUCCGUCCACCGGGUCUUCGGCGCCAGCAACGUCGCCAGGUUGCUCCAGGUACGUGACCUCUGGUAAUCGAUCAUUCCGGCCGCGCACGGUUCGACAUUUGAAUUGGGUUGCCACUUGCAGAGCUUGCCGGCGGAUGAGAGAGCUCAUGCGGCGGAGGCGAUGGCGAUGGAGGCGCAGUGGCGGGUGGAGGACCCGGUGUAUGGAUGCGCCGGGAUCAUCAGCCAGCUGCAGGAGGAGAUUCAGGCCACGCAGUGCGAGCUCGCCAGGACGCGGGCGCAGCUCGCCAUCGUCCCCGCGCACGGUGCGCAGCUGCAGGCUCUUCCGCCGCCGCCGCCGCCGCAGCCAGACGACGGCCACAGCGUCCCCGUCGCGCAGAGGCAGGGGCAGGGAGAGGCGGUGCCGUUGCUUGACCCGGACGAGUUCCUAGGUCUCGACGGGCUUUGAGCUCUGAUCGAUCAAGCGCGUACGUGCAUGCAAUGCACGCUGGGGAAAUGUCAGGGCGAUGAACCAGAAAGGAAAUGAGGCUGGGAUGAAUAGUUCCGUAUUUUAUACAGUGGCAGCUACCUCCGGUCCGGUGGCAAGGCCAUGUCUCUAUGCACACACAUCUCGGCCGUUGGUUCCAGGUAGAUCGAACGGCUCAUGUUGUCCAGAGGCAGACACACCAUCACCAGCCAAAAUGACAGUGCCAAAUAAUGGAUCUAUGCACGCUCUCUUCUACCACCAGCAGAGUGGGAGAAGAGAGCAAGAGGAAGGUGGGACGGAAGUUAACACUGGCAGGACACCAGGUUAACUUCAGCAAAACAAAUGCUUUUAGAACCAACAGACAUCUUCUUUAGCAUUUAGAACCGACUAGUAACGCACACGGCAAUCCACCUCAAGACAGACAUUAACCCACAAAACAAGCACUCCGAACAGUUCAGGAAUCACCGUUAUGGAACCCGAUUACAACCAACACGAAUCUUAAGUCGCGACUGGUCCACAAUGACAGACGAUGAAUACUUCUCAAGGCACCCUUUUCCGGGUUGGUUUUACUUGGUCUAACUCCAUGUAUGCAAGAGGCAUUCAUUUUAGAUCUACUUCCAAUAACUAUGCGGAUGUGCAGAGCAUGGAUCAUUACGCUUGCCAAUCCUUCCUUCCUCUCAG
rnacentral:lncRNA from 1 species